rnacentral:lncRNA from 1 species
AUAUUUUAUCUGUGCUACCGUAGCAUUUGUUGAAACUUCCCUCGAUGCCAACGUGUAAAUAUUUGUUGAUUUUUCAGUGCUACAUACCUACCUAUGUACAACAUGACUGCAUAGUAUAUCAAUUAGCAUAUAGCUACAUGGCUGCUUCAACUCCUUUCUCUUGUGCCUAAAAAAUCUUGCUAUAUCGACUCUUCAAUCAUGUAUUUGCUUAUGUUGGCUUAUUUAAUCUCCUUUUUUUUUCACAUAUAUGCAGGUGCCUGAGAUGUUGCGGAUGCCAUUGACUGAGUUGUGUUUACAGAUAAAAUCACUUUCUUUGGGAGAUAUCAAAUCCUUUCUACUGAAGGUACGUGAUCUCUCUGUUUCUGUAUGUGUGUGUGUAAGUGUACAUGUACGCCCGUAUGGCUUCAUCUUUGUUCAUGCAUUAUGCCUGUUUCUAUUGACUUAAUUAUUAGUCGAAGCAUAGCUACGUUUCUUUAUUCUAUCAUCUUGAUGUCAGUGGUUUGUUUUUGUGACUAAUUUUGCAUCGAUAUGACACUCUACCAGGCAUUAGAACCACCACGAGAAGAAGCUAUUUCCUCUGCAAUUGACUUGUUAUAUAAGGUACUGUUUUGUUCCUUAUGACAAGUUUGCAAAAUUUAGUGCCAAUAUCCUUAUCUCACUACAAAUAGAUCUAGAAUACUCUUUUGGACUAUUGUUAGUGUUUGUGACUGAUAAGUUCAUAUUGGUGCAUUUUUUUGGUAAAUGCAUGAAAUCUCACUAGAGAAUUUACACUUUAUUUUGGUGGUUGUUGGGUUGGGGUGGUUUAGGUUGGAGCCUUUGAAGGAGGAGAAGAAUUGUCACCUCUUGGUUAUCAUUUGGCAAAACUACCUGUGGAUGUUUUGAUUGGAAAGGUAUGAUUAAAUGUUUUGACCUCCUUUUGCUUUAGACCUUUAUAUGUUUUUUCGUUUUAGAAAAUUGUUUGUCCUUGAAUGUAUUUUACAGGACUAAGUAAAUCUAGUUUAUUUUUGCGCUAUCUCAUGAUGAAGUAUGGAUUAGACAGAUUAAAAUGAGGCUUGUGUAUGUAUAUGAGUGCAAGACAGGUCUUCGCUACUUUCCAUUGACCAUUGGAAAGCCCUAAUAUGAUGACAUGAAAGUUGAGCACAGUAGAGGAAUAACUCAAUAGCUAAUUGAAGUCAUUAAUCUUUUUGAGAUUUCUAUAUCUAAGUAGACAUGUGAAGAGAGAGUCUGUGUCUAAGUUGACCCACUUUUAAUAUCCUCAUUUGCUAUAUGGGCUUGGCCGCUUGGGCUAGUCUGCAACAGACCCGGUCUCGCAGGCUUGAACCAUCCCCAGUCUAUCAGAACUUGGGGAUGAUCCAGCUGAAAUAGACUCACUGAAUUUGUUCAAAGACCUCUAUUCACAUUCAUAUGAGCUUAUAAUCAUUGAAAAAGCUUCUUUUAUAUGCAAAUGUAUUUCAUGAAAUCUAGACAUAUCUUAAACACAGAUUUUUAUCCCUAAAUUUUCUUGCAAAGUUACUUUGGUUUCGCAUUCUUCUGUAGGAAGGUUCCAUAAGUUUGUAUAGCUGUUAAGUUUUUUCUAGCAUUUUUAUUAGCCCAGUUGUACUGAAAUGUCCCCUUGGGGAUAUUGAGACCUCAAUGUGAGCAGUGAAAUGACUUUAUAUUUAGUUUUAAAUAAUUUUAAAGGGCUUUUUUUGUAUUAGCCCUUUUACAAAUAGCUCUAAUAAAUUUAUAUUUACAUAAAUAGCCUUUCCUUGCCAUAUGGGCACUUGGGUGGCCUUUUUAAGUUGAACACAGUAAUUCAAUCAUCGUGUUUAAACACGGUGAUUGGAUUACCAUAUUUCUUUUUAUAUUUUUUAUCGCCCCUUAGUUAAAAAAGAGAAAAAAGAGGGACUAGAGUGUGGAUAUGAGCAUGGUGAUUCAAUCACCGUGUUCAACUUAAAAAUGCCAACCUGUCACUUGCGUGACAAGGAAAGGGCCAUAUGCAAAUAUAAAUUUGUUAGGGUCAUUUGUCAUUUUUUCUUGAGGGGGCUAAAUGUAAAAAAACCCCAAUUUUAAAUGAUCUAAUAUUUUGUAUAUUUUCUUUCCACGUACUAAAAUUUAUUUUUGCAGAUGAUGUUGUAUGGUGCAAUAUUUGGUUGCUUAUCACCAGUUCUCUCGAUUGCAGCAUUCUUGAGUUACAAGCCUCCCUUCGUCUAUCCCAAAGAUGAGGUACUAUCUGAGAUCUCUUUGUUUGUAGCCAUUUCUUCACUCGAAUUGGCUUAACUUGUGUAUGUUUGUGAUGCAGAAACAAAAUGUAGAGAAAGCAAAACAAACUUUAUUAAAUAGCAGCCUGGAUGGAACUGCUUCCAAUGUGGACAAUAAACAGUCAGACCACCUGCUAAUGGUUGUUGCCUACAAUAAGUGGGCCAGGAUUUUGCACGAGGUUAGAGUUAUUUUGUCAAUUUUUAUUGAAACACUAGAACAGUUCUUUUCUGCAGAUAGAUCUUAUGUUAGAUUUUAUUAACAUCAUCAAAAUCUGCUUACACUAUCUUUAUGGUAAUAAUUAAUCUUUUCUAUAUUUUUAUACUAUUGCAGAAUGGUUCAAAAGCUGCUCAGCAACUUUGCCGGUCAUUCUUUUUGAACAGUUCAGUUAUGUAUACUAUCAGGUGAGUUAUUUCCUUUGACUGCAUCAUGUCAUUCAUUGAAGCUGUAAUCUAUUCCUUACAGCAUUAUUAUACUAUGUAAUUAGGAAUCUUUUAACUCGUUGUUACAUGAAAUGUUAGCAAGUGGAAUAAAGGUGCAUUAUAGUAAUUUUGAGUGCCUCGAUGUUACAACUUGGAUAUUUGAGAUAAAUUGGGGAAAUAUUAUUUUUCUAUCAGUUUACUGUGCUCUAACCCCGUUUCACUUGGCAGGGAUAUGCGUAUACAACUUGGAAGUUUAUUAGCAGACAUUGGGCUCGUUGAUCUCCCGAAAGUUAUUUUGGUAUUGAUUUUACUACCAAAGUUGAUCUUUUUUCGUUUCUAGCAAUGUAUCCUUCAGCCGUUUCAUAUUCAUGUUUUCCAUUUGCUUUGAUUCUUCACAUGUAUUUGAGUUAUAUCAACAAAAUGUUAGUAUUAUUGGGUGUCGGUGGUGGAUUUUGAGGUCAAGAAUAAUUUUUUUUUCUUUUUUCCAAUGUUCACUCUGGUUUGUAGAAGUGAGGCUAAUAUUUGAUGCUUCCAUCACAACAUAUCAGAGCUGGCUUCAUUAUCUUCCUCACAGUAGUCGGGAUAAGAUUUUAGAUUAAUACGAAGGUUUAACUACAAUUGCAUAAAAGGAUUUUAAUUUUGUUAACACUGCAUGAUUUUUAAAAUUUUCAUUUAGGGUAGAGUUGUGUAAAAUUAUUUUUUUUCCCCCUCUGACACAGAGUGCUGGGAAAAGGAAGGACAAACUUGACGGUUGGUUUGCUGAUGCCUCUCAGUCAUUCAAUAUGCAUGCACAUCAUUCUUCAGUUAUUAAGGUAAUUUUUUGUUGGUUUUGACUCAAUGCGCAUAAACAUUGUGUGUUUCACAUAAUGUUUGCGAUCUAUUUCAAGUGUGAGGUUUUGAACCACUUAUUUCUUUGCACUUGUGGAUGUUCCUAACUGUUUUUGUGUGCAGUCGAUUAUAUGUGCAGGCCUAUAUCCCAAUGUUGCUGCAACUAUAGAAGGUAUUGACAGGUCUUCUUUAGGUGGAAAUAAAGCUCUUUUUGAUUCCCUUUCGGUGAAAGACCGGCCGCUUUGGUACGAUGGAAAAAGAGAAGUUCACAUACAUCCUUCUUCCGUAAACCAUAGCUUGAAAAGUGCUCGGUAUCCAUUUCUUGUCUUCCUUGAGAAGGUAAAACUUUUAGGUUGUCGCUAAAAACUUGAUAAAAUUUAAACAAGAUGAGGUUUUUAUUAUUACAAAUAACUUUCAUUUUGCAGGUUGAGACUACCAAGAUAUUUUUACGAGAUACUAGCAUCAUCUCUCCUUACGCCAUUCUUCUGUUCGGUGGUUCCAUGGUUGUCCAACAUCAGGUGAUGUCUCUUUGGCAAUAUUAAUUCAGUGUUCGAUUAGCAUAUGUUGCAUUCUUCUCAUGUUCGAGAGAAUAUAUAGCAUUCUUGUUAGAGCAUGUUUUUUCAAGAGAAAAAUCUAAGUUACAAUUAAAUUUUUCUGAGCUUUUUCUUUUCCAUUGGAAUGUAUUACCCUUUUUUUCUCCUUGUGAGAAUGUUGGAUAUGGGAGCAAGUUUUGCACCUUUGAUGUCGUAGAAAAGCUAAGAAUCAUGAGCUAUAUCACUUUUACAGGCUGCAUCGGUCAUGAUAGACGGCUGGAUAAAGUUGACAGCCCCUGCACAGGUUGCUGUUUUGUUCAAAGAACUCCGCAGAACGCUCGAUGCCGUUCUCAAAGAAUUGAUCAAAAAGCCUGAGGUAGUAUUAUAUUCAUUCUUCAUCCGUUUUAAUUAAUAUGUUAAUUUGACCUAAGACGCCAUAUAAUUCUCCCGUUCCAGACGUCCACGUUCGUCAACAACGAAGUCGUGAACUCCAUUGUUUAUUUGUUGCUAGAGGAAGAGAAAUCUCAAGCUUGAGAUAUUCUUAUGCUCCACACAGCUUUGACAACCAAAAAAGCCGAUGUAAGGUGAGUCCGAAGAUGCUAACAGCAGAAACAACAAGUCGCUUCUACGGUAUCGUCUAUGCACAGCUUAAAAUAUUCAACUUGUGUGGUCAACGAAUAUAUGCUGCAUUUCCUGUUAUCUUACCUACUCUAGUCGAUUAUUUUGAAGUCUAUUUUUACUGCAGCAAACAUUUCUUUUUCUUUUUCUUUUUCUUUUUUUUUUUGUUUUAGGGGAUUUUAAUCAAAAUGCUGAUGCUUUUUCCAACAGAUUACUGCCUUAUGUGAACACCUGUUCUCAGAAACUGCUACUCAUGUCUCGUCACUCGUGAGGUGUAGAAUAGGUAAUCACAGGGGAAUUUCACAGCCUCUUUUAUUUGUUCAAACAUUCUCGUAUUAGUUCCCCAUACCCUGGUUGUAGCAAUUUCAUACAAAAAGCUAAAUUGGAGAGAUUAAGCAAUACCAUGUGGUAUGAAAACAAACAACAGGGUUUUUGGACCUGUGUGAAAGGAAUCCGGAAUUCCCAAUGAAACAUGCCGCCACAGCAAUUUGGCAACCAACUUUUUUGUUCUUUACCCCGGGAGGAUUUUUUUUUUUCUCUUUUAUUAAGAAAAGUGGUCCUAGUUGUAGAAAGUUUGGACGAUGGAUGAGAACAAAGAUCUUAUUAGGGUAAAAACUUACAGGUCGUUCCUGCAUUGUUCUAAUAUUGUACCUUAGUCCGAGUACCUUUUGCUGCAUAUUAUUAGUUCUUCAACUUCCGCAUAUAUUACAUUUAGUCGAAAACAUGUUUUUAUAGUCUAAUCAUUUUAUUUCUAUCUAUCAAUAAGCAGUUAAUUUUAAUUUGUUUUGUAACGAAGCUACAAGAAUUAAGAUAUUUAAAUAGAAAAAGAGGGGCUCUUUUUGCAUUUAGUUUUUUUACAUUUUUUUUUUUUUUUGUAAUAGCUCUAUAAAAUUUAUAUUUACAAAAUUAGUUCUAUUUCUGUCAUGUGAGCACCACACAAAUGCCAUAUUCGGCGUGGAGUUUAAGUUUAAGACAACAAAUCAUUCACCGUAUUUGAAUGAGUUGUUCUCCGUGUUUAAGCGUUAUGUAUAACUCCUCUCCGCGAUCUCUCUUCCCCUCUCUCUCCCCGAGCUUUUUCCAUCUCACUCUCUCUCUCUCUCCAACCACCCCCCCCCCGAGCUCUCUACCGCUGCUGCUCGCCACAUACGCUACAUCCUCUCUCCUCGGACAAUAUGCCUCCUCUGCCGCCCUCCACGACCUCGGAGUUCUCAUGGGAUAUUCUACCAUCACCACACCUUUAUGGUAGAAAAAUACAGUAAAUGUUUAAACAUGAUGAGUAGAUUCAUCGUAUUCAAUUUAAACUCUUCUUUUAAUAUAAAACUUGUGUAACGUUCACGUGACAGAGAUAGAGUCAGUUUUAUAUUUAUAAAUUUUACGAGACUAUUUGUAAAAAAAAUUGUUAAGGAGCUAAAUACUAAAAAAAAACCCGGAAAACAGAUAUAUAAGGACCAAAUUGCACUAUUCGGGCAGUCUAGGGACUACCCAUGCAUUUUUUUUUAUCUAUUAUUUAUUAAUUUUGAGCAUCUCUCUCUUUCCGAGAAGAGGAGAGAGCAUAGAAAGAAGGGAAUCAUUUGGGGUGGUGGGAUCGGGUGCUUCUAGAAAGCGGGACAAGGCGACAAGAAGAUCCGCGUGUCGCCGCGACGGAUCAAUCAAUCAAUCGCUCGCCCUGAUGAUGCCUCCGCGCUCUUUCCUCCCCCCACCCCCUCUUAUCCCGCUCUCCUUUGUCCGCUCCCUCAAAUGAUACCUUUUUAGUUCCUUUUUGUUUUUGACCUUUUGGAGCCCAUCCCAUUUCAUUCUCAUUCCAUCCCAUUCCAUUCCUUUUAAUCCCACAACAACUAUUGUUACCACACGUGUCUAAUCUUUAUUAAUAUUCAAUAUUUUUUAAGAAAGCAAUAAUAAUAUAUUCUUUUACCUUAUUUAAAAAUUAAAAAUAAAUAUAGUCUGUACCUCAAAAAGAAACUUACUAUCUGUCUAAAAAAAUCUAAAUUGGUAGAUAUAAUUUGCAAUAUUUGAAAAGUAUUUAUAUAUGAAGGUUACAUAUUUUGAAAUUUUAUUAUAUAUCUACGUCAAGUAGUCUGAAAAAUUAACUUUGUUGAUUUAUAAGUAAGUAAUUGGUGUUGGAAAUACAGAAUUACGUACAUAUAUUUUGAGGCCUACGUGAUGGGUGUCAUAGGUAUUAGAGGUCCAUGCAGUACAUGAUAGGUAUAUAUAUAUAUAUACUUGUGUACACCUCUCUCUCUCCUCGCCAAAAUGCCCCUGGUGCAACGACAUCCAUGUAUACGUAAGAGUUGAACACUCAACGCACAAAACAAAGAGAGAGGACAACUCCACCGUCCCAGCGUACCCCGGAAUCCAAGAGGAGAAGAAAAUUCAUAUAUAAGCCGUAUUAUUUAUUAAUUAUUAUUUUUAAUUUAAGGUAAACUUUAAAUACCAUCUAUGCAGUUUCUCACUUUAGCAUUAUGUGAUUUAGGAUGUAUCAAUUUAGUACCCAAUGGUUUUAUUUUUCUCUUUUUGUCAGCCUCUUUGUUAUAACUUUUCGUUAAAUCAUACACAAAAAACUUCAGGUACCCUAUUUAUAAUUUAUUGAAUAUUUAUGUAGGAAACUUUAUGAGAAACUAGAUCGUACCUUCUGUCAUGAUUUUGAUUUGUGUACCCGAUUUGUAGCGGCGAUCUUUGCUCGUGGUUCGUUCUCAUUCGCGAUCUGCAAAGUAGCGGGAUGUUUCAGAGUCUAAUUUCCUUAUCCUGGAGAUGGAGCCAUUACAGACAAUUCGAUUAGGGUUAGACCGGGACUCCCGUAUGUUACAUAUUUAUAUAUAACUUAAUGUAAGAAUGUUAAAUCACGUCCGUCCAUCAAGAACGUGUCUAGAUACAUCCUAACCAUAAGAUCUAUCGUAUCUUUAUAGAUCGACUUAAAUAGAUUGACUGUAUCUUUAUGGAUCGCCUUGAAUAUAUCACGUGGGCCACAUCCAACAAUUUACUCUACUACCCUUUAGUUUUAACAUUGUCACUGAUUUAAUAAAAAUAAUUAGCAAAAAGGAUAAUAAAACGAAAAAAAUAAAACCACAGGGUACGAAAGUGAUACACUUUAAAUCAUAGAAUACUAAAGUGAAAAAUGUGAGACCACACAAUGGUAUUUGAACUUUUCCCUUAAAUAUAUAUAUAUAUAGAGAGAGAGAGAGAAAGAGAGAGAGAGAGAGAUAUGUAUAGAAACAUCUUUUGGAAAAGAAGAUACCUUCCACCUAAUGUUCCUUUACUAUAGUCUAUAAAUAUGCUUCAGGGAACCCAAAGCCAACUCCUCCCUCCCCUUCUCUCUCUCUCUCUCUCUCUCUCUCUCUCUCUCUCUCUCUCUCCUCACAGGGGGAAUUUAAUUUCCUCCUAUUUUUGGUGUUGGUGAGUUAUAGAAAUUGAUAGAUAGAUAGAUAGACAGACAGAUAGGCGUGACAAAUAUGAAUGAAGGGGCUGGAGAGGAGCUUCUGAGCCUAAGCUUAGGCCUCAAUAGCUCAUGGUGCACAAACACAACAAAGAUGAAGAGAAAGGCAAAAGAUGAUCAUGAAUAUUCGAACCCAGCAUGCAACGUUACCACCAUGCAAGAUGUAGAAGACAACAAGUUCUUCAACUUACUCCACAUGAGGGAUCAAAUGCUAAAACAUGACCCCAAGAGAUCAAAUGGGGCGCUAGAAGGUACUACAAAUGGCCUACAACUCAUUCAUCUGCUUCUAUUCGCCGCGACCGCGAUCAACAAAAACAACACGAGUUCCGCCGUCGACGCUUUGCAUGAGAUCUACAAGAAUGCUUCUUUCCAUGGCGAUUCGAUACAACGAGUCGUGGCCUACUUCGCCGAUGCCUUAUCCGUGAGAAUUCCCUCUCCGAGAUCUCCACUUUACCACUCUAUCGUAGUUUCUCCGACGCCCGAAGAGGAGUUCUCCGCGUUCACCGAGUUCUACCGAGCUUCGCCGUACUACCAAUUCGCGCACUUCACGGCGAACCAAGCGAUAGUCGAGGCAUUCGAGAACGAAGAGAAGCGCAACGGAGGUCGAAUUCACGUUAUCGAUUUCGACGUAUCAUAUGGCUUCCAAUGGCCCUCUUUGAUCCAAUCUUUAUCCGAUAAGGCCAGUAGUAGCAAACCGAUCUCUCUUCGCAUAACAGGGUUCGGAAGAAGCGUCGACGAGCUCGAAGAAACCGAAAUGAGGUUGGUUAACUUCGCGAGCGGUUGCAAUAACUUGUUCUUCAAAUUUGAGGGGAUUUUGAGAGGUUCUUCGACAUGCAAUGAUAUUAGGAUUGAGAAGUACUCGACUCUCGUGGUAAACUUAGUGUUCUAUCUCCAAAAACUAAGUAGCUCUAACGAGAUGCAUGAUACAUUGGCUACUAUACACUCAUUGCACCCAUCUUUGGUUGUGUUAAUAGAGAGGGAAGGUAACCAAAGCCCGCGAAGCUUCGUAUCGCGAUUCAUGGAGUCUUUGCAUUACUACGCCGCCAUGUUCGACUCGUUAAACGAGUGCCUCCCACCGGAGAGCGUCGAGAGGCUCAGCAUUGAGAAGAACCAUUUGGGCAGAGAGAUAAAGUGUGGUAUGGAUCAAGAGGAUGGAGAAGGGCACUUUAAGGUGGAGAGUUUGAAACAAAGGAUGGAGAGAGUAGGGUUUGAAGAGAUGAAGCUAAGUUCAAGAACAGUGAGCCAAGCAAAGCUACUACUGAAGAUCAAAAGCCAUGGUUCAACAAUGGGGUGUGGUUCUAAUUGUGGGGGAUUUAGGGUUUUGGUGAGAGAUGAAGGGAGAGAGAUAUCUCUAGGGUGGCAAGAGAGGCUUCUAAUAACAGCUUCUGGGUGGAGUUGCAGGGAGUGAUUAAUUGGAGUUUAAUUAAUUACUUAUUUAUUUGUUAAAUGCUUUUUUUGAUAUCUUGAAUAUUUGUGAUAUAUCUUUUUUUUUAUUUCUUGUAAUUUAACCACUUUGAUGUAGUAUAUAUUGAGGUUCCUUUGUAGAAUAUUAUAGUGUAAUGUUUAAGCAAUUUUCUCAUAUGUGACAUAAUAAAGAAUGGAUUGCUUAAUUUGUGUUAACUUUGCUUGAAAAAAAUAGUAUUUGAGAAGCAUAUCUGUAUUACAUCCUAGCUGCAUUGGUUUUUUUUUUUUCUGAGUGUUAAUAAACUUUUAAUACUAAUUUUUAGCAAUUUCAUAUUAGAUUGAUUUAAUAGGUAAUAUAUAUUGCAUUAAACUUAGUACUAUAAAGCCGCUCUAUGAUCCAUAUUUGAUACUUCAAGUUUAUAUGUUAGGGCAAUAUUAAGACUAUUUCUAAAUUAUUUCCUACUGAAUCAAUCAAUCUCAUAUAUAUAUAUAUAUAUAGAGAGAGAGAGAGAGAGAGUAGGGCUACUAUAUUCUUUAUAAGUAUAGAGCCUUUCGUACUCAUAAGUUGUUUUCAAUGAUAAAGCUUCUGAAUUAAUCAACAAUUCAUAUCGUCAAAUAUGAUCUAAAGUAUUUAAAACUUAUAGAAAAUAAAUUUCGUAAUUUUUUAAAAUCAUAAUAAAAUCCAUUAAGUAAGCAUAAAAUAAAAAGUCAGAAUCAAACGAUGUCUUAAAAAUGGAUAUUAGGAUACUUCAAUUUAUGAUCANACUAUAUUCUUUAUAAGUAUAGAGCCUUUCGUACUCAUAAGUUGUUUUCAAUGAUAAAGCUUCUGAAUUAAUCAACAAUUCAUAUCGUCAAAUAUGAUUUAACAGUUGAUAUUAGGAUACUUCAAUUUAUGAUCAGAGUUAUUGAUCUUUAUCUAGAUAGUGAAUAUAGUUUUCUAUAAAAAAUUCAACCGAUUUUGAUUCUUUAACACAGUUAAACUAGCAAGUAUCUUAUAUCAACUGUUAAAAACUAUCAAUUUUAAGAUUUUUUUAAUCGUAAGGUAAAUGAUAUCAAAAAAAUAAUAAAAUUUGAUUUUUAGAAGUUCUAAAUGCUCUAGAUAAUGUUUAACUUAUAACCGAAAAUAACUUAUAAGUACGAAGGCAGGGGAAUCUCUCUCUCUAUAUAUGUAACAAUAACUACCUCAACAUUUUCCAUCACAAUUAACAAGUGCCAUCAUUAUAUAAAUUUACUAAUUAUAAACUAAACUAUUAAAGAAAUUGACUUGGCACGUGCCACACAAUCUAACAUAGAGUCAAGCAACCAAUAUUGAUCUCCUAAACAUGAAAUUAAUAUAUAAUAUUUUACUAAGACUUGGUCAAAUAUUUCAUAUUAAUCCCAAUAAGGGAAUAUAUAUAACUUGCUAUGCAUGAAGAUGCUUUAUGCAUAUAUCCCCUAUCUAUUUCUCCUCUCCGACAUUCUAUUAUUUUAAAAUUUCUUUUUUUUUAAAAAAAUAAAGUUGAUUUUGAAUUGUCAAUUCAAGUGGGUCACCAAAAUGUUAGGUUUCACCUAACCAAGAUUUCCAAGGAUACCAAUGUAGAAAUUCAAGAGGGCAUCUUCAUGUAUAUAUUUUAUAUGAAAUAUUAUUCUAAGUGUGCGGCUAAUGGAAUCUAUCUCCUAUAUAUGUUGGUUUCUUGUAACAUGUAUUAAUUAUAGGUUUUCAAAGUAGGGUUAGUAAACUUUUUUUUGUUCUUAAUAAAGUUUCGGAUUUUUAGUGGUCCACUGUAUAAAAGUUUGGAUUUUUCUUCUUGUCAUUAAAGAGUGUAAAUAUUAUAUAAUUGAAUUCAACAAAGUUUAGAUGAAGGAACCAAUGCUCCAACACAACAAGUCAAUGAAGAAUAUUUCUCGUGGCAAUAAUAUUAGAAAAUGUGGGUAUAUUUGCAUCUGAUCAAAAGAAAGAAAAUGUUGGCAUAUUUAAGAGCCUUUGUGUUAUAAGAAAAUAUUAAGAAUAUUAAGAACCUGAGGUACUGAGAUCGAAUUUCAUCAAGCUCCUAAUAUUAUUUAAUCUUCUUUUAUCUAAUUCAUGCUUACGUCUUGGAUUUAUCAAAAAAUCUCGAACACAAACGUGAGUGGAGCGAUAGAUACAAAUAUUAAGAACAUUGUUCCUUGGUUGCUUAAGAUAUUGGAGAACAUAUCGGUUGUUUUACGUUAUUUAACACUUUGUUGCAUUUUGGAGCUUCGAUCUAUAAAAGUGUUAUUUAAAUAGAACUAUUCGAAAAAAAAAAUUAUUAUAAUGUUUUCUUUAAAAUAUUUGAUGGUUUCUCAUGCAAUAAAAACUUUAAAUUUUGUUUGUCAAACACCUGCCUAACUAAUUAAAACACGCCAAAAGGCGCUAAAACAAAGUGGAUGUUAUAUUAAGAUAGAAAUUCCACUCAAAUUAAUCAAGGUAUCUAACCUAAUUAAGUUCAAAGGAAACGUUUGAAACUUUCUUGGCUUUUUGCGUAUCUCAUGAAAAAGAUUGUUCAAGAAAAGGCUUUGAAUUCCUUGUUCAAAUGUUUACUAUAUAUGGGAAAAAAAGGAUUUAUUUGAACAACAAGUUCUAUGUCCUAUGACCAAUCUCAAUUUCGUUUUCUAAAUUGUUCUACAUAUAUUGUUUAGGUCAAAAGAUUCUCAUGCAUGUUGGACAAAACAAAUUAAAUACAUUAAUUAAUCAAUGAGCCCUAUGUCACAUUCCAUUACUCCUCCAAAAAGUUGAUAGUAGGAGGAUUUGGUAUUAGAAUUUGGAAGCAAAAAAAUAAUAAUAUCUUUUAGCCGGCUAAUCUUUACUUGGAUAUAUGGACAUGAUCGAUUUUAAUAUUUUUAAUUGAUGUUUUGGUACUAUGGUAUAUAUAUUCCACCAAACACUUUAAAAAUUAAAUACCAAUCUUUGAACCGAAGUACCAAAAUGGUACUUAUCUAGUUAACAAGUGAUCAAUAUAUAUAUAUAUAUAUAUAUAUAUAUAUAUAUAGAGAGAGAGAGAGAGAGAGAGAGAGAGAGAGAGAGAGAGUGAGUGAGGCUACUAUGCUAUCGGAAGCACGGAGCGUNNNNNNNNNNNNNNNNNNNNNNNNNNNNNNNNNNNNNNNNNNNNNAUAUAUAUAUAGAGAGAGAGAGAGAGAGAGAGAGAGAGAGAGAGAGAGAGAGUGAGUGAGGCUACUAUGCUAUCGGAAGCACGGAGCGUUCCGUACUUUUAGCUCGUUUUCGAUGUUGCGACUUUUGAAUCGUCGAUCGGCUCCGUUAAACUUGAUCUAGAGUAUUUGAAGUACCUAGAAAAUAAAUUAUGCAAUUUUUCGGUAUUAUUUACCUAGUGAACCAAGGGGCUCAAAAUCAACGGUUAAAAAUAAAAAUCUUACAAAACGUGAUAAUAUGACAUUAAAGUUUUAGAUCAAAGAUAUUGAUCUCGUUUUAUAUAGUAUAAAGAAUUUUCUAUCAAAAUUUCAGGCGAUUUGGAUAUUUCUACACCAUUAAACUUGCAAACGGCUCACUACGGCCAUUAAAAUUAUUGAUUUUGAGCCCCUUCGAUCACUAGGCAAAUGAUAUCGAAAAAUCAUAAAAUUUAUUUUCUAGGUACUUCAAAUACUCUAGAUCAAGUUUAACGGAGCCGAUCGACGAUUCGAAAGUCGCAACAUCGAAAACGAGCUGGAAGCACGGAAGGCUCCGUGCUUCCGAUAGCAUAGUAGCCUUACUCUAUAUAUAUAUAUAUAUAUAUAUAUAUAUAUANNNNNNNNNNNNNNNNNNAUAUAUAUAUAUAUAUAUAUAUAGAGUUGGACUGGGCUACUAUUAGUAGCAAAAUCUCAUUGUUACUACCAGUUUUUUAGCCUUUGGAUCAACUCUUUUCAUUAUUUCUAACCAUUGGAUUAAAUACUAUAACCCAGUAGGGACCACUCAACCCUAGGGGGACCACUCAACUCUAACCAACUAAUAUCAUCCCGACCCUACAAUUUUUCAUCCAAGGGUUAAAAACUUGAUAGCAAAAAGAGCGUUUUAGUAUUAAUAGUAUUCCAGUCUAAUUCUAUAUAUAUAUAUAUAUAUAUAUAUAUAUUUUUGUGAACUGAGCCAGCUCAGUGCCUACUAGACUAAGAGUCAAGACUAUUAAAAGAUGGGCCUUUGAAAGAUACAACGGGCCUCUGGAAAUUCUCUCUCUCUCUCUCUCUCUCUCUCUAGAAAAUAUAAUUUUUCCAAGGUUACAGAGGGUUUUUAGAAAAGCAAACCUCAAAUAAUAGCAUAACAUGCUUGCGAAUCAAAGGCGUUAAUUAUUAAUUUUAAAAACUCAAGCGGUUAAAAAGGACGCAAUUCAUUCACUUAGAAUGCAUAGACACAUAGACCGACUCUUUAAGACAAUAGUUUCCUCGCGACAUCUGAACCUAUAAGCAGCAUGCAAAGAUCGAAUCUACGUCACCAUCUCAUCCUGUUAGAAUAGAUGCAACACAUUCAUUUGAAGUACAUAAAUAUAUAUACAACGCCUCACAGGCUUCGAUUGUGAUUCGGUCCAAUCUAACAUUCGUUACAAGAUAGAAUGCUGAUUCAUUUAAGCUAACAAUCCAAGCAUAAUUUUCUUACCUCUCAUACCAGCAUAUGCAGAUAUUUGUGUGUUAGCAUUGCAUCAAUGUGUAAACUUUUGGACCACCCACAUCAAGCCCACCAAGGGAUCCAAUUUUAGCCUUCUAUUUAUUCCUAAAUAUCUAUGCCCCAUGUUAUAUAAAAUAUACACAGCAAACAAUUCUCACAUAAAAUGAGUAAGGGGCGCAUUUGAUACGGCGUAAAAUGAGUCAAAAAUUUAUUUUCAGUAUGAAAAAUAUUUUCGUGCUUAUUUGAUUCGACAUAAAAAUAAUUUUUUGUAAAAAUUUUAUUUAGGAAUUUGAAAAAAAAAUAAAAUUUUCGUCUUUCACUAUUUUUCAAUAAAGAAUGAAAAUUCAAACUGUAUAAAAUUUUUUAUUCAUUUUUCCUAUCAAACCAAAUAAAUAUAAAUUUUUUUUCUUUCAAUCAAAUAAAUAUUAAUAAAAAAUUAAUUUUUUCAAUUAAAUAUUUAUAAAAUUUUAAAAAAAACUUUUUUUUUUUUUUUUUUGUACGUUCAACCAAACGGAUACUAAACCAUUAUAUUUUUUAACUAAUCCCGAAGAAGAUAUAACACAAUUGAAAUGCACUCUAACAAAAGCACUACAAAACCACUCUCCACGCCUACACCUCUCUCUCUCUCUCUCUCUCUCUCUCAUCACCUCCACCACCAACAUUAAUGGCGCUCCUCCCCCUGCACCUUCUCCUCCCCCUCCCUCUCUCCCCUCUCCGCCCCCCAAAACUCCACCUUCACCGCCCCGCGAAGCUCCGCACCAUCAGAUCCCUCGCCGGAACCCUAGACGGGGCCUCGCCGGAGAAGCCGCGGAGGUGGGAGAGGGCGCUCUCCGCGGCGGCGAGCCUCUACCCGGUCUACGUCACCCUCGGCGGCGCAGCCGCGUGCGCGAACCCGGGGGCCUUCACGUGGUUCGUGCAGCGGGGCCCCGCGUCGUAUAGCUUCGCUCUAGGGUUCAUAAUGCUCGCCAUGGGCCUAACCCUAGAGCUCAGGGACCUCCUAGGUCUCUUCCGCAAGAGGCCCUUCUCUGUGAGUUUCAUGAGAAUUUCGCAAAUAAAUUUCUUUUUUUUUUAUUCAAUUUGCAUGUUUUCUUAAUGGCUUCUUUUUUCGUAAUAUUGAGCUUAUUGCAACCACAUUUUGAAUGGAAUUGAGUUUGUGGGGAUUGAAAUGUUAUAUAAUUCAAGGCCUUUGAUGUUAUUAAGUAGGGAUAGUUGUCUAUAUACCCCUCAUACCCCUCGUACGUUUAAAAAAUAUCCGAUUUAUCUUUAAUUUUUUUUUUUCUAAAAUACCUCUCAUAUGUUCCACCGUUAUUGCAAAAUACUCUUGCAGGUAUCUCCUGUUAAGUUAACUUGGGUUCAAUGUGAGUUAAAUAACUACCACAGUUAAAAAAAAUAAAAUGCAAAUUUUGUCCUUAACUUAAGGGCAAAUAAAAAAUGUUGGUGACGGUAGAGGGGUAUAUUGGAAAAGACUAAAAGUCAAAAUACUUUUUGUGCCCCUGACUUUAAAGGCAAAUAAAAAAAUCGGUGAUGAUGGAAGGGUAUAUUUGAAAGGGCAAAAUAGUAAUUUUACAGAGAUAACAGUGUUCAUUAAUAGAUUUUAACUCUAGGGGUAUAUUAGAAAUAGGUUGGAAUAUAAAAAAAGGUAUUUUCAAUAUUAGCCUUCUAAGAGGGGUAAAUCGGAAAGUCGAGAACUUUUCAGGGGUAUAUAAGCAAUUACCUCUAUUAAGUAUUAGCACAACUACUUUUACUAUUCACAAGGAGAUUUAUCGAACUUAGCCACUAUUCAACAAUUAAAUUUGAUCACAUUCAAUAAAUUUGAUCUGUAUACGGGCGCCACUACCUCAGUAUCACACCUCUCUUUUUUCCUCAGUUUUUGGGUUGUGUUAUUAAUGCGGUGACAAAGAUAUUCAAUGAACCUGAUCAUUAAUUCUUUGUAAACUACAUUUGACCACUCUACAAAUAUUUUUAAAAAAGGCAAAAAAAAUUGACCAGAUUUAAUGAAUCUGAGUUGUAGUUCUGAUCAUUAAUUCUUUGUAAACUACAUUUGACCACUACAAAUAUUUUUAAAAAAGGCAAAAAAAAUUGACCAGAUUUAAUGAAUCUGAGUUGUAGUUCUUUUGUUCGUUUUGUAAUGUUCUCAGAUAUUGUUCGGUUGCGUUGCUCAGUACACAAUAAUGCCAGCUUUCGGAGCUAUAGUUAGCAAAGCACUUAAUCUCCCCCCCUCGCUCUCGGUUGGUCUCAUUCUUCUAGCAUGCUGUCCUGGUGGAACUGCAUCUAAUGUGGUAAAAUAUGUGCAAAUUUCGUAUCUUAUUAUGCUUUCGUACUUAUUUAAAUCAUUUUUAGUUCAUAGUUAAUCUCCUAUUAUCGACAUGAUACUUUGUGGUCCUAACUCCUUUUAAAGAGUCACUUUUGGUCCCUGAGGAUAGUCCAUUUGAUAACGACUUAUGAAAUGCUGAAUUGCUUUGAUUUGUCUAUGAGCGGUUCAUGUUUUUCAUCUCAAAUCUAGAAGAGGACAAUUGAUCAUGGUUGACGUGGUCCAAUGAAUUGAUAUUGAUAUUUAAAAAGAUCUCAGAGAUGAGAGUAUCGCUUUAUGUGACUGAGAAGGUUCCAAAAGUAUAGCUGGAGAGUUGGCAUGUCCUUUUUGUCAGUUAGUGAGUGAUUUAGCUUUUCAAAGUUGAUGCAUGUACAUAUCAGGUUUCGUGAUUCAAAUUUUUAAAAAAACUCAAUCAAUCAUUAGCUGCCACCUCUGCAGCGUCAUCCAGGGACAUGACCCAUUUAUUCAUCCAUAAAUCCUACCAAGACAUUGUGAUCUUCAGUUCAUUUGUCUAUUUGAAUCGGUUAAUAUUUCCUUUUCAUGGAUCAAUAGUGUUUAUAUACUAGCAAGGUAUCUUAAGAGUUAAGAAUGGUAGUGUAGUAGCAAAAGCUAAUUCAAGAGAAAAGAAGAGCAAAUAUUUCUAUUCCAAGAAGAUAAAAAAGCAGAUAACACCAUCAAGAUUGAGAGAAUAUGUUCAGUUGUAAUCCCCACAUCAAACCCCGUUACUUCUUGCUUGAUUGCACUAGACAAAAGCAGUUUAAAAUGGCUAAUAUAAAUGAAAGCUUACUCUACUAGCUAAUAAUAUGCAUUCUUUAACUUUUGACUCCUCCCGCCUUAUUAGUUUCUCUCUAAUAGUGUUUCAGGUGACUUUGAUCGCCCAAGGUGACGUGCCGUUAUCAAUUGUAAUGACUGUGUGCACCACUCUAACUGCAGUCGUUCUCACCCCUCUGCUAACAAAAAUUCUCGCUGGAGCCUAUGUCCCUGUGGAUGCCGUGAAGCUCUCCUUAAGUACUCUUCAGGUCAAAUUAUCUCCUUUUUACUCCUCAUUCAUCUCGCCUUCUCUUUAUUUUCUUCAUCUAAAUUCCUUCUUUUUCUUCUUGUAGAUAGUCGUUGCUCCGAUUUUAUUGGGCUCUUACAUGCAAAGCACAUUUCCAGCCGCCGUAAAAGUCGUCACCCCCUUUGCUCCCCUUCUUGCUGUAUUAGUUUCCUCACUACUUGCGAGCAGGUCCAAAGUUCACAGUAAAGUUUUGCACUUAUUUUUUUUACUUCUUUUGCUUUCAAAAUCAACUCUAUUUUCUUUAAAUGGUGUAGUGUGUUCUCCGAAAACGUUGCUCGUUUGAAGACAUCAUUAGCAGACACACCCUACGCCUCUGAUCAAGGCGCAAUUUUUGGAGAUCUGAAGACGGUCAUAUUGUCGGUCCUCUUGCUGCAUCUCGCUGGCUUUUUCGUCGGGUACAUUAAUAUAUUGAAAUUGUUUUACAUAUAGUAUUCGCGAGCGAAUAUGCUCUAACAUUGGAUGCUUUAUUCGCAGAUAUCUAUCGGCAGCGAUAUGUGGUUUCAAAGAAAGACAGCGAAGAGCAAUUUCAAUUGAGGUAUUCGCCGCUUAUUCUUGUAGUAACCCAUUUACCGCAAAUCGAGGAAUGGUGAAAUUCAAUACCAUUUAUUCCGACUUAUGUUAAUGGACACAUAAUCAACUAUGUACAGCUAUUUCAUAUUUAUUCACGCAUGUAUGGAUCAAAUCAUGAUUGUGUCGAUGUGAUUACAAGUUCAUCUGUUUUGUUCAGGUCGGCAUGCAAAAUUCGUCACUUGGUGUAGUUCUAGCAACUGCUCAUUUUUCGUCUCCGCUGGUAGCUUUGCCCGCAGCUCUCUCGGCUAUAAUUAUGAAUAUCAUGGGUAGUUCGCUGGGCUUCGUGUGGAGAUACGUCGAUCCAUCCGAUCCAUCCGAUACCAGGAACGAAUCCUAGUCCUUCGAUAGGACUCUUUUUGUUUUUAUUUUUAUUUUUUUUCGACUGUUCUAUGCAGUUAACAAUGUUAUAAAGCUGUGUAUAUCUUGGACCUUUUAAGACCUUGGCAUUAGUUGAAGACUCUUUUGUGCAAGGAUGCUUUGUGUAUAUGUAUGUGUAUGUAAUGCUUGGUUUUGUUGCAUAUGUAGUAAAAUAAAUGAAUUUCUCAAUUUGUUAAAAAAAUACUUCACUGAUUUUAUCUGUUUCCUUCUGUUUGGUUUUCCAAAAAAAUAGUUUUUUGAUUGGAAAAAUAUUUUCCGUCUCCUUGGUUUUUAGAAAAAGUAGUUUUUAAGAAGUUUUUUUUUUUGAGAUUUUACAAUAAAAGCAGUAUUUUUGUUUUUUGGAUUUUUUUUAAAUAAAAAUUUAUAACAAAUAAAAGUUUGAGGACCAAAGUGUAAUCAGAGUCAUAGUUUGAGGGCCAAAAGAGUAAUUUAACUCCAAGGUCUAAGAAUUAUUUGUUUGUUUAAUAUUUAAUUUAAUUUAAUUUAAUAAUUAUUUUUUUAUUAUUAAAUCCCAUUUUAAAACAACCGCGGCAAUUGGCGAUACCACCUUAUGAUGAUAAAUUCAAACUUCUUUUUUUUUUUUUUUUUUUUUUUUUUUUUUUGAUACUAUAAAAAUGGAGUCGUAUGUGGUCUCCUCCUAAAACCCGUUCUCCAUUUCCGAUCGCCGCGUAGAAGAGGGAGCGAGGAUUCGGCGAUCCGACGCCGCCGAUGAUUCGUGAUGGACGACGCGUUCGCGUUUUCCUCGGCGAGAUUCGGUUCGUCUCCUCCGCUUUGCUCGGUUUUUUGCUUUUUUUUUUUGUGUUUUUUGUUGAUGAAUUAGAUCGAAUUUAUUGGUUUCAUCUUUAUUGCUUUAAUGUUUGAGAUGAGAUCUAUCUGUUGCUAUUUAUUUAUUUAUUGUAUGAUUUGGGAGAUUUGUUAAGCAAUUUUCUCUAGAUUUCAUGUAUCUAUCUUAAUUUUGUAGAUGUUUGUAUGCUUUAUUAUCUUUAAUUUUUGUGUUGUUGUUCUUGUUUGGGGGUGGUAAAGGGAUCUGAUCACUGUGUGAACUCUAUCUGAAAUAUAAAUUAGGGAGUAUUUGGCCCUGCUUCUGCUUUUAGCAGCAGUAGCCUCAGUAGAACUGGAAAUUUUGCUGCAGCAGAAAACGGAAAUCAGAUUCCGAGCCUCAAAAGUAUGAGCUCCAAUUUGAUGUGUUUCCGGCAACAGUAGCCUUAAUGGAUAAAAGAGAAAAAUCUAGAGAUUUUGAUGCAUCAAGAAGCACAAACGAGAUUCGAAACCUCAGAAGAAGAAGCUCUAAUUUGACGCUAUUGAUUCUGCUAUGAAAAGAGCUUGUAUUGGGUAUAUUUGAUGUAGUGCUUCUCUUAACAACACUAUUCAUUAAUUCGUCAAAGUACAAACAGCACUAUAUUCAAACUUUUCCUUCAUUUCACUCGAAUUCUGUGAGUUGAAUUUCCUUUUACCUACUCUUGGUUGAUCUCUGGUAGUUUAUAUGGUGUGUUAUUGUGCGAAUAGAGAGUAUAUUAAUGCAACAAUGUCAAGUGUCGAGAUCAACUAGAUCAAAAGAGGAUCUGUAAAAUUCUACUCCUCACCAAGCCAUUAGUAAUUUUACUUCCUCCAUGUAAUCAUUUUAUUGAGGACACCUUUCUUCUGCUUAUACGCAUUCUGUUUUGAACAAGUUUUUCGAGAAAAUUAUUCAGUCGCAUGAAUUAGUUGCUCUGUGUAAGAUGAUUGCUCAAAGGUCGAUAUUUUUUAACAAAAAUUUACGAUAAACUUGAUGCCUUAGUUCCCUUUCAAUCUUACUUUUCAUAUUCAAGUGUCUUCAAUUGCUCAAAAUGCACCAUUUAUGCAACUGUGAACUUAUGUCGUUGUUGGGUUCGUUUGUCUCACAUAUAUUGUAGAAUCGAGAUUGGCGCACUGUGUGAUGAAUCUCUACAACCCAAAAGAAGAGCUUAAGAAGGAUCUCCAUCCUCCUAGGUAAAUGCAUGAUAACUGUAGUAAGUUCUAUAGUUAUAGAUACCAAUAAAGUAUUUUAUUUGUCUUAUUUAUGAUUGAACUGAUUUUGUUAGUAUUAGCUCUGUUCAUUCUCCUCAGCUACUUCAUGAUUUUAUUUUUAUCCAUUAGCAAGCAAAUAUAAAACUCUUAGAGCAUAAAAGUAAUAGGACAAAGUUACAAACUGUAUGUAUAGAUCAUUAUACACCGACAUUCGAAUUUGCCAACCAAGUUAACCUUCGGUUUUAUAUUUCACACCGAUAAAAGAUGCAUUUGUACAAUAAAGAGAGAAGGAAACAUCUAGGAAAAGGAGAGGGAAGAAAAAAGCACCAAAUAAAUGUUUUUUCGGUGAGAAAGCAAAGAACAGUUUUACAAUUUAUAUGAUUGAACAAGAAUUCGACCUCUUUUCAGAACAUAUCCACAAGCACCCAAAGGAAAUGUAGUACAAAGAAUCCCAUUCUGCACACACAAAAUGAAAUAUAUAUGUAUGAAAUAAAUUCAGAUCCCCUCACUCCUAGUUUACUACAAUGUUACAACAACACAAACUAAAACCCUCCCCUAGUGGAUUCAAACAUUCUGCGUAACUCCGACCGCAAAUGCACUGUGCUCCGUGUUGUCCUCACCACUUCUCGUCGUAUCUAACUUCUCCCCGUCGCCCCACAAUGCGUAGGCUUCUUCGCCGUGCACUGCGUCAUCUCCAAUCAGCAGCUGAUCAUCCGGUAUUCUUAGCGGGACCACAAGCUUAAUGACCAGACAAAUGAUAGAGGUCACAACGACGUUCCAUCCGAUGAUGAAUAAGGCGCCGGCUAUUUGUUUUCCGAGUUGCGACCCACCCACACCGCCAUAGACUGCGCCGUGAGAGUUGGUGACCGGGAGGAAGAGGUUGCAAAGAGUCUGUUCAGCAAAAAGCCCGGUGCUGAUACCCCCCAAAACGCCUGCAACGGCGUGGGUAUGAAACACACCGAGCGUGUCGUCGAUCGCUUGGAGCAAAGACCAAUGACGGUGGAUCACAUUCAUGGUGAACCAGGGGACGCUACCAGAAAGGACCCCCAUCACUAUAGCUGCCCAGCCUUGGACCACUCCUGAGAAAGGCAUGAACAUAUAAGGUUGGUGUUUUUGAUGUUUCUAUAUCUUUGUGCAAACAAAUAGUAGGUUGAAUGUGGACAUCUCAUUAGUGUAAAUGGAAAUCGGUAUUGAUCCGUCCGGUCCGGUGAACCAGAUCAACUCUGACUAGAUCUAUAAAAAAUCGGGCCAGGUGGGCAGGUCAGAACUUAAAAGGUUGGAUCAUUUUUGCUUAGAGAUAUUCACAGUAUCGCAAACUAUGUAGCCUUGGUAGAACUAGUAUUUUACUGGAGUUCAAUAUGUUUUCUCUCUUUUGAGUAAAUCAGUGUUUAACUUUGAAUUGCAUAUAUGGUGCUUUUACAACUAUAUACUCCUGUAAAAUCUGACUUUUUUUUCCUAUAUGCUCUUCAAAAGUGCAUUUUCUUAUAAAAUUAUCUUUAUCUUAUGCUGCAGUAUACCGAGAGAAGUUUUUACAAGGGAAUAUGCGAAAAGCUCUUUAUCUUAUGCUGCAGUAUACCGAGAGAAGUUUUUACGAGGGAAUAUGCGAAAAGCUAAGUUCAUGAAGAAUAUCAUAUCUCUGAAAAGAUAUCAGAAAACAGUCUCACCACAAGCUGUUGGGAUAUUUUCAUGCAGGUUGAAUUAAAGAAACAUGGAUUCAGGAUCAGAUCCAAUGUCAACAGCAUGGUAAAACUUCAAAUUAUCCUUUCUAAAUUGCUUUGUUGAGUAUCAGAAUAGCUACUUAAUUGCUUCGACAAAUCAAAAAGGUGACUUGGUCAAUAACCAGUGAUUUGUUCUCAUAUUCAGUGUUAUGUGUGGUGGAAACUGGAAAUUCUAAACCAUGGGCUUGGCAUUUUGUUCUUAAAACUGUGUGGAAAGUCAAAUUGCACAGCUGGAAUUGAGAGAUCUGCUUCCAACUACAGCUGAAAUCAAGCCUACAGUUGCUGAAACACAGGUACUUUUUAUAAAUUUAAGUUAUUUCCAAAGAAUAAAAUUUGAGGUUUUGUUAAAUCCAAUUGUGAUUCUGUUAAAUUUUAAUCUCUCGUAAUGGCCUUUUCAAGAUUUCGUUAACUAUUAUCGGCUAAUAACUAAUUCAACUGUUAAUUUUAAUGAAUUGAAAAGUAACUUAAAAGUUGAGGCCGUGUUAAAAAAAAAAAAAAAAAGAAAAAAGUGGAGGGCUAAUUUCAAAAUGGCCUAUAGCUUAGGGGUGUCCAUACAUUUUUACCUUUUAAAUUCUUCCAGUUAGGUCAUAAGUGCUCUCCAAUGUGGAGCUUAUUAAACUCUUUAUUUACACCAUUUUUUAAACUAAAAAAAGAGUACAAGGCAUCCAUAUUAAAUAGUCUAAGUUAAUUAAAGGAAAUUAAAUUAGGCUCGAAUUUUGACCAGCCAAUAUAAAUUAUGUGUAGAAAUUCUCACAUAAGUUGCUUAUAACCAAUAACAAUAAAAAUUCAAGUUGAGAACCAGUGUCAAUUAAAAAUGCAAAAAACAUACAUGAGACUUAUCUCUAAAUUAAAAGUUUACACCAAUAUCAAAAUCAUAUAGUAUUAGAGAUAAUCCAUAUAUUUUUUAGGAAACUAAUCAAAGUUGUUAGGAAUCCGAAUGGGAUAACCCAUUUUGUUCGAAUUAUAAAGGAUUCAACCUGAGAGUGGUUUUCUUAUUAAGGAUUUAUUUUUUGGAUCCAGUUAUUUUUCGGGAUCGGUGCGGGAGCACCAAUCUCAUUUGAUUCCCUUUAGAAAAUAGGGAAUAUUUUCAAGUGUGUCACUAUUCUAUUAUUGUUGGAUCAUGAUUCUCCUUGGCCACAUCUGGGGUUUCCUCAUUCUUAAUAAGUGAUUGGCUCCAAAUUAGUCAAUAUCUCUUUAAAUUAAUACUGUAAGCGUCAGAAACACGGAUUUUGUUGUUUUAUUAUAGGUAAGCUUGUACGAAACUAAAAUUAAGAUAUACUUGAAAAUAGAUAUUAAUUAAAAUGUAGAGUUAAUUGUAUACUAUAAUUAAUUAAAAUAUACUUGAACAAUAUUUAAUGGAACGAUGAUGAUUCCAUGACCCCACGAGAUUGAGAUUCCAAAAAGCCGGCUUUUGACUUCAGAAAAAUGAAGACAUUAAUUUUGUAAAUUCUGGGUAUCAGGUUGGUAUCAGAAUUAAAUGUUCUUUUCCAACUUUUUUAGGUCGAGAACCAAUAAUAUUUCAUAUCAAAUAAAACAAAUGGUAAGAUUCAAAAAAGUUACUCUUAACGACCCUGUAGUCUUAUUUGUGUUGCUAUUAAUUAGUGUUAUGUGGUUGUUUACCGCCUCGGUUAUGUGGAUUAUACUCCAUUGUUAUUAGGUUUUCUCGUCUAUUAACGAGUGGUUUAGCUUGGAAUAAAUCUCAGGAAAAAUUAGGAAAGACUCUGAAUGUUGUUUGAAUAGAGUUAUUUAGAAAAGUCUCAAAAUUCUUUUAUUUUAUUUUAUUUUAUUAGUGAUUUUAUUUUAAACUUGAAGGUCACGGUCUAAAUUAGAACUAUUUGUAGAGUCAAUGGAAACUCUAGGAAGUUCAUUUGUCGUGUCAAAAUUUUGUUGGAAUGGAGAUUUAUUCCACAACCUAACAGGAAUGGACACAGACUAUUAUUGUACUCCCAAUAGUUUCACAUCGGAUGGGGUACUGAUUCCGAUCAGUUUAUAUGAGACUUAUAUGCUAAUAAUCAUAACUGAGCUUAAAUAUUUUUGGCCGAUGGUUUGAGCCUAACGAGUUAUUUUUGCUAGCGAAUCGGGUCGUUACAAUUCUAAUAAAAAAAAAAUUUUAAAAAAAAAAGAAAAAAAAAAGGAAGGUUUACCGGCGCCGGGGGUGAUGCAGACGAGGCCGGUGAUCAUGCCCUGGAUGGCGCCGAUCACCGACGGCUUCCCGAAGACGAUGACGUCGAGCACGGUCCACAUGAGGAGGCUGGUGGCCGCGCAGACGUGCGUGUUGAGCACCGCCAUCGACGAGUCGAUGUUGGCCGAGUACGGGUCCCCGCCGUUGAACCCCGUCCACCCCAUCCACAGCAGCCCCGCCCCCGCCAGCAGCAGCAGCACGUUGUUCGGCGGGAACCGCUCCCUAUCCGCCUGCGACCUCGGCCCCACCUAUGCAGCAGGAGUAGCAAACGUGUUGAGUCAAAAGAUCUUAUAUAUACGUCCUUUUCUACUUGAGAAGCAGAAGUUAAAAAAAAAAAAAAAAAGGGAUACGCACCCAGUAGGCGGCGGUGAUUCCGGCAAUGCCGGAUGAGACGUGGAUAACGUACCCGCCCGAGUAGUCGAUCACCCCCCAUUGGAACAGAAACCCCCCGCCCCAGAUCGAGAAAGCGCCGAUCGUGUAAGAGAAGGUGAUCCACAGCGGCACGAACGCCAUCCAGGCCAAGAAGCUCAUCCGGCCGAGGAGCGAGCCCGCGAGGAGAAUGACGGUGAUCGCGGCGAAGACGCACUGGAAGUAGACCAUGGAGGCGGCCGGGUAGAAGGGCGCGACCAUCGGCGUCUCCACCGCCUGCCCGCCGCGGUAGUAGUGGGUGGAGGCCGGGAGCGUCGACUGCGCGAUCAGGAACUUCUGGUCCAGGGCCGGCCGCGCCUUCCCCCAGAAGGGGAGGAGCUUGUCGCCGAAGGACAUGUUGUAGGCCCAGGUGACCCAGCAGAGCCAAACCGCGGCGAAUGCGUAGAGGGCCAUGAAGGCGGAGUUUAUGGCCCACUUCUUCUUCACGAUGCUCCCGUAGAGGAUCACGAGGCCCGGCAUCGACUGCAGGCCGACGAGCGUCGCCGACGUCAUCUGCCAUGCGUUGUCGCCCUUGUUCAGCCACUCCGGCGACGACGACGAGUUCUGGUACGCCGCCGCCACCGCGCUCGCCAUCUCUACGACCUAGCUAGUUUACGUGAUUUAUACCUAAGGGAAUGAAUGAAUGAUUGAAUGAAUGAAUGAAUGAAUGAAGAGCAAAUGAUGCUCUUCUUUUUUACUUCCUUCGCCUUAUGAUAUAAAGAGGAGUAGAAAACAAGAGCACAAAAUGAAGGCCGAGAGGGAGAGUCGUAGUGAUUGAGAGUUUUAGACGAGCAUUUAUAGUGGCAGGGGAUUCAGUGGGAAAGGGUUUAAAAAAAUAAAAAAAAAAUAAAAAACUUUAAAUACCACCUUCUGUUUCAAAUUUUUUCACUUUAAUAUUUUAUGAUUUGAAAUAUAUCAAUUUAAUAUCCUGUAAUUUUAUUUUUAUUUUUUUAUUAUCGAUUUUACUAAUUUUUUUGUUAAAUCAGUGACAAAGUUAAAACCAAAGGAUACUAAAGUGAAUAUUUAAUAAACUUAGGUCGGUAUUUGAAGUUUUUUGUAUAUAAUUUAAUAAAAUAUUAACAGAAAAGAUAACAAAAAAAUAAAAAUGAAGCUAGGGGACUCUAAUUUGAUACAUUUUAAAUCACAUGGUACAAAAGUGAGAACGUACAAAACUGCAGGGUGCUAUUUGAAGUUUAUUCUAAAAAAAAAUAUGAUUUUGUGUGUUGAGUAGCAUUAGGUACUUAGAUAGCAUUAGGUACUUAGAUAUAAUAAUAUGCGGAGUUUUAAGGCUGAAGUAGUGGAUACUAAAUAGAUUCCUCUCAUAUUAUAUUCAGGAGAAUUGUUUUCUUUUUUUUUUUUUUCGUUAGAAUAUUCGUAUUCGUUUGCGUAGGUACAUACACUGAUCGUUACCUGUGUAUUUAUUUGUUUAUUUUUAUAAGGUGUGAAUGGAGAAUCUUAUUUUUCAACGGUCGUCUUGGUUAGGGUUGUUACGUAGGCUCAAAUUUGAACCCCAAACAAGUUAGUUAAAUUUGAUAUCCAAGUGAACCUAUUAGCCAAAUCCUUAUUGUCUUUGUUGAGACCACUUCUCAAUCAACUUUAUUAGAUUUAUCUUUUAGGAUACCAUCAAAAUGGGUAAUUAUUUCUUUUAGUUUCAUGUGGUAAUUGGUUCUUGUUUUUAUAUUCACAGUGAAAUAAAAGUGGACUGGUAUGCUUCUGGAAGCACAGAGCUUUCUGUGAUUUCAAGUUGUUUUCGAUGUUCGGACUUUCGAAUCGACGAUCGGCUCUGUUAGAGUUGAUUUAGAGUAUUUGAAGUACCUAGAAAAUAAAUUUUGUGAUUUUUCGAUAUCAUUUACCUAGUGAUCGGAGAGGCUCAAAAUUAUUAAUUUUAACGGCUGUGGUGAGCCGUUUGCAACUUUAACGGUAUAGAAAUAUUCAAAUCAUAUGAAAUUUUGAUAGAAAAUUCUUUAUACCGUAUAAAAUAAGAUCAUAACUUUGAUCUAAAAUUUUAACAUCAUAUCAUCAUAUAUUGUAUGAUUUUUAUUUUCAGCCGUUGAUUUUGAGCCACUUCGAUCACUAGGCAAAUGAUAUUGAAAAAUCGCAAAAUUUAUUUUCUAGAUACUUCAAAUACUCUAGAUCAAGUCUAACGGAGCCGAUCGUCGAUUCGAAAGUCCAAAUAUCGAAAACAACUUGAAAGCACGGAGCGUUCCGUGCUUCCAGAAGCAUACCAGACGCACUCGAGAAAUAGUUGUUUUCUUGUAAAAGUUUAAGUUACUAGGAAAUAGUAUUUUAGUAUUUUUAUUUUUAAAAACAUGCAGAAAAUAGUCCCCAUAUUUUGGAUACAUAUUCAAAGCGUGAAAUGGGUAUGUGCUGCGAAACUUAAACAAGUACUAAAAAUUCACAUAAUAAUUGGAUGAAACGUAGGGAUUACGUCUAUCAAGAGGACUCUGGGAUUUUCACAUCAUCUUUUUUUUUUUAGUUUAUUUAUACAAGUCCACUCUUUUUGCCAAGGAGAAGAAGCAAUCUCUUAUGAAAUGUUCAAAAAGUGAUUUAGCCAAAAAUAAGCAGAGAUUCGUUUUAUUUUAAAAAAUAAUAAUAUAAUUAAAAAAAAAUGAAAUGAAAUUAAUCAGGAUAAACUAACUGGGUGCAUUACAGCUUAUCAUAAGAAAUCAUGAUCUAAGAACCUUAUGUUCGACUUUUGAAAACUUAUUCACCCACUUAAUAGAUUAUUUUCAUGUUUAAGAAAUAUUAAAGAAAAACAUUUUUUCUUACGUAUAGUCAAAACUUUUGGAUUACUCGAUAUUUAUCAUCUCAGUACUUAAAAAAAAUAAUUUUAAAAAAGUCAAAGAAUCUUUCCGAAAAGAUUUAGAAAUAAUGGAUACUUUUUAAAAUAAGUAAUGCUAGAUAUACACCCAAAAGUGAUGUAGACUUUACGUCGAUUUCAUUCAAGGAUGGGAUUCACUCUACAAAUCACAUCAUGUGACUAAUAGAUGAUUCUCUAUCUUUGGAUGGAUGGAAAGUAGGAUAUACACUCAUUUUUUAGUGUACACAGCUGUUUUUCUUUUGAAUUUAUUCUAAUUUAUAAUAAUGAAUAUGGAGUUUUCUAAUAAAUCCACUUCUCUUUUUUUCUUAGUCAUCCAUAUGAUUUGACUUGUUGAGAGGCGCGUAUAUACAAUUGACAUUUUUUUGUUUUUGUCCUAAUUAUGUGGUGCACAAAUUGUGCUUUAAUGGGCUCCGUAAACCAAACAAAAUUCAAACUGAAUCCGAUCCAAAAUAAAAAUAAAACCAAUUCUAAGUUGGAUCAUUUAUAUUAGGUGCUAAGAGGUUGAUCCAUGCCAAUAACUUUUUUUUUUUUGCCUUUUAGGGAAAACUUAAAUAAUAAAAUCUUAUGCCAUAGGUUAAUGGAUUCAAUUUUACUACCAUAUUACUGUUUCAUUGUUAUUUUGAUUCUCUAUAAAUAUUUGCUGUUUGAAUGCGUAAUAUGAUGUCUACAUUAUAGUUUUCAGUAUAUUUUAUCUUUUUUUUUUAGAAAAGUAGUUUAUAACAAGCUUCAUUCAUUGAGAAGUAAAAACUGGAAAAUAAGAGUGACAAAAAAAAAAGGAAACUACAUAAUUUAAUACUCAUAAUGUUUUAAUAAGUUUUUUGAUUAUUACGCUCUCAGUUUUAGAUAGUAUAUUUAACAGUCGAUUCUUAUCUAAAUUCGAAAACUAUAUAUCAUCACUUUAAACAACACAAUAGUAGUAUUUUCUUUUUCUUGAGGAGUGCGACCCAAUAAAAAUUCCUUAGAUUUUGUUAUGUAAGUAAAUUUGUUGAGAAACUUUUAGCUUAAUUUGCAAAGAAACUAUUAGCCAAAUUCAUAAAAUAAUAACACCUGAAAAUCUCAUCAUCAUUAGGUUUCAAAUCUAGGUGGUUGGACAAAGUUUUUUUUUUUUCUCUUUUGUAUUUUUUUUUUCCUGGUCAAUAUCAAAGUUUCCUUUCAGGUAACUCUUCUGCACAACACUUGAUAGUGAUUGCUUGUGAUCAUACAUCACAAACAAAAUAAGAGAAUUGUCACCACUUCUAUAUAAAUAAAAAUAAAUUAUUGAGCCCAGUUGAUCAAAAUAUAAACUACAUAUAUAAUUACAAGAAAAGAAAAGAAAAGGAAUGUUUCCAUCAAAACCAUCUAACCAUAGUCCCCUACUGUAUGCCUUCUCCUUGUAGUUUGUUGGCUAGGUGUAAACCAUGACCUAUUUAUGAUUUUAUACAUGGCUCAUCAUAGGAAAUUUUUUUAGUUACAUCCAUGGAGUCGACACGUAAUAGGAGUUGUGAUUUAUUAAUUAACGCUGUUCUUAAUCUAAGGUUAUGCAUCUAUUUCUGUGUGCCAUUUUGAUCCAUUCGUCGUGUUACUAUCUUAAUGAAUCAUGAAUCACUAUCCUUCCUCUCUAGGUUCCAUGACAAUUACAUUAAUAUUAUUUUCAUAUAUAUAUAUAUAUAUAUACUAUUGAGAAGUAGCUUGCCUAGAACUGAGUUAACAGCUUAAUAUAAUAUGAUUGGCGAUGGUUAGUGUCUAACCAACAUAUUCGGUAUAUUGGAAUUGAUGGGGAGAGAAUUAGGGAUCAGAAUCAGUAUCGGAAUCGCAAUGGAAUAGAAUUAGAAAUUGACCUACUCUUGUUGUGCCAUUGGUUCAGCAUGUAAUUGAUACUUCAAAUAUGAAAAAAAAAGAGCAAUCAAAGUUAACACUUUUGGUGCAACAAUUUCAUUGAUGGUCUAAUUAUAGGAUUCAAAUAAUGUCACACUACAUCUCUAAUUUGUUAUUAUGCUUAUCAGUUUCAUUAACUAGGACUAGAACAGGAAAUAAUUUGAUAAUAACUUGAUUUCUUGUAGUAUCAAGGCAAAAUGAAGUUAUAUAUGUUGUUUGGUUAGGAAGAUACAAAUGCAUGAAUCAACUUAGUCGUAAGUGAUUCUCUCAAUCUUUAAUUCUAGAAUAUGAUAUGAUGUGGACAACCAACAAUGAGAGAACCCCAACCCAUUAUCAUUCACAUAAAAAUAUCAUUGACCUUCCCUUAAAUAGUUUAUUGGGGCAUUGUUUAAUCAUAUGAUGUCGAAAAUUUUAAAAUUCAACCUAUUUUUGACAAAAAGCCAAUAACUGGAGCUUCCUUCUUAAGGUGCGGUGCGGUGCCACACUUAAGGAGAUAUUACAAGCAAGAUUAUUUUUGCAAGAUAUGGAAAAGUUUAUUUAGAUAUUCAUGUCUCUUUAAAGGAGUGAAUCUCUUAAUAGGUACUCUUACCUUGCUUGAAUUUAAUCCUUUUUUUGAGAGAGAUAGGUAGCACGCUACCCGUUUCGUUUAUUUCAUUUAGAAAUAAACUUAGCUGAAAAUGUGAAUCAACUAGGAUUCGAACUUGGGUCUCAGGUACCAACCACCAAGCCCUUUGCCACGUGCUCUAGGAAUGGUCGGUGUGAAGUUAUAUUUAUCACAACAUAUAUUAUGUCAUCAUCAUCUUGGAACGGAUCGGGCCGGAGUGGAGCAUACUUGGGCCCUAUUGGGCCAAGGAGUUAACCUUCAUUAGCUUGGGCUAUCUUGGGCCUUGCCAAUAUAAACGGUAAGCGCAACGACCUCGAACCGCGCUUAUUCUAGAUAUGGAUCGGGUUCGGAAGGAUUUGGACCGCUUCAUGUUUCAUUUUACCGCCCAACAACCUUAUCUAGGUUUUCUAUGCUAAAUUGUUUGAGUGUAUGACAAACUGAGUUGAGUUGAGGAUUGUUAUGUCACUGGCACGAAGCGUGCCGCUGCGCCAUCAACACGACACGACACGACACGAGACGACACGACACACAUAGGUACUACGCACCCUCAUUUAUCGGCACGAGUAGCACAUUAAUUCAAGCUCGAAGGCGAAUUUACAGCAGAGCUAAUUCAACAGAAACUAAAGUGCUGAUAUAGAAGAGAAUUGCAUAUAGUUGUAACUGUAUUGCAGUUGUAACUGAAUGUAAAUAUAAAUUUCGUGUUUGGUUUGAUGUAUUUAAUUCCAACUGCUGCAAUAGGAACUGCAGGAGGAGGCCCAACUGCAGCAGUUCGAACUACACUCAAAUUGGCCGUAGUUCCAACUACAGCAGUUGGAAAGAGUAACUUUAAAUAAAAGAUAUGCUUACCUCAAUAUUUUUCAAACAAAAUUAUUUUUCUUUUUUACAUUGGAGGUAAUCUCACCAUCAUAUAUAUAUAAUAAUAAAAUUUUUAAAAUUAUUUCUCAACUGCAUGCAACCAAACAAAUUAUUUAUACUUGCAGCACUUUCUACUACAUCCAACCAAAUAAGAUUCAUAUAGUUAUAACUGUUGUAUUUCCAACUGCGUGCACCUCUAACUAACUAUACUGUAUUUAUAAUUAUAUCUAACGAAACGCCCCCUAAAUGAAGGAAAACCAGAAAAGAAAUAACUUGUCCAUUGAGAAAACACCACACCCAACUAGCACUUGUACACCAACAAAUCAACACUUGGAGGGAAAUAGUUGUAAAAAGUGAUCGAUAAAAUAUACAGUAGAGUUCUGAAGAGUUUUCGCCGAUCGUGCUUAAGAUGAAUAUUCUACAAAGCAUCUUAAAUAUUUCAUGAGUAAUAUUAUAACAUAAUAAACAACCGCCGACGAUUUUACACAGUUAUCGGGACAUGAUCAUACAAAAAAGAAAACAAACUGAGGAGGAAAAGAUCAUUAACUAACAUUUCAAAGCCAUAUUCUAAUCCUUUAGUUUCCUCCUUUUCUUUGUGUAGGCCAACAAACUUGAUCAACUGAUUUGGAAUUCUCCGCUAGCGUGGACUUCUUUAACUCUCUUAUCGUAUUCAUCCUCGCUGUCCUCCUCCUCCUCCGCUUCUUGCUCUUCGUUCCCUUGCCUGCCUCCUCUGUCGUCCUGCUCUUCGUCCUCCGUCCACCCGAAUCCCGCCACGGGCGUGGUCGACGGCGGCGGCGUCCGCGCCUCCGUCACGAUCUUCAUGAUCUCCUCGACACUCUGAAGGGAGUAAAUCGGGGCGGUGUUGUCUCUCUUAUAGUAUACUGCUUGUGCAGUUUCAGUUAGCUCCCUAGGCAAGUUCUUUAGGAACCAGGGGUGGUUUCUAAUUUCCCUUAUUGUUAUCCUCUGUGAGAGACAAAACGAGGUUCCGACAAUUAACAAACUAAUUUUUGACACAUGACACCGCAUGGAGGUUGAAAGUAUCGAAAGAGUUGGUAAAAGUUAGCAAAUAUGAAUGUUGAUCCUAACGAGAAAUUAGUUGGGCAUUUUAAUAUAAGCCAUGGCGGUCGCGCACGAAAUUGAUUCAUAUAAGCAUCGUUUCAACAUGUACCUUUGCUGGGUGAGGGACGAAGAUACGAGAUAGGAGCUGCCUGCAAUCCUGCGAUAGGUGGACGUAGUCUGGUAUUUUGUAUUGAAUCGACAUUAUCCUCUGCAAUCGAAGAACAGUUCAGUGUCAAAAAGCGUAGCGAGAAUUUUGUCCAUAAAGAUAGAAUAUCAUUUAAUAGAUCUCGCUUCGACGGAGGAAGGAAGAUGAGAUUUUAAAAGAAAUUUACCUGAAUGGUCUUUCUGAAAUUCCUAGGAUCGUCGGGGUCCUCAAAAGGAUAAGCUCCCACCAGCAUUACAUACAGGGUUACUCCGCAGGACCAUACAUCCGCCAACUACAUCAGCGAACAAUCACUCAUCAGUGAUCCAAGAGGAACACUAUAAAGAGGCAUAUACUAUAUUUAAAGAAUUUAAACAAAUAACAAACAACAACAUCAUAUUUUGUCCUUUUUACCUUUUACUAACAUUUUGUAGUACCUAAAGAAUGAGGCUGAAUGACCCAUUUUAACUUGCAAAACACGCAAACCAAGCAUCAUUAGUGCAUAAUUGUUAAAUAUUUUACAUUGGAACGAUUUUUAUCGCGCUCUCAACUCUAUCAUUUUUCAAAUUGUUGCUCCACUUAAAAUAUCCACUGGCUAUAUACAUCUUGCCUUGAAUCUGCUAGCGUAUUACGCUAGUUCUCCAUGUUCAAAUAAUUGUCAUUGAAAUUAAUGUGAUAUGCUCACAAGUUACCGACUAUUUCUAGUGCAAGUGACAAAGGAUUUGAUGGUUAGUAUCCAAGGUCCUAAGUUCGAAUCCUAGUUAAUUCAUUUUUCUAACUAAGUUUUUUUCUAAAUAAAAUAAACGAAGCGGGUAGCAUGCUUCUUAUCUCUCAGAAAAAAGAUAUGCUCACAGGUUACAAAUUUAGUCGCACAUGAAUUAACAAUUGAUAGGGUAGAGAAUGGAUAUGCGCGAUUGGGAUAUGCUACUUAUCUCUCUCAAAAAAAAAAAGAUAUGCUCACAGGUUACAGAUUUAGUCGCACAUGGAUUAACAAUUAAUAGGGUAGAGAAUGGAUAUGCGCGAUUGGGAAUGGAAAAUAGACUCAAUUUUUGAAAAAAUCGUCAUGCUAACUCCAAGGUAGAUAGGACCUUUCAUGGGCCUUUCUUUAAGCCCAAUAAAUCAGAAAAGAGAUGCAAUCUGAUAUUUGAACUUGGGUCGCAAUCAGGACGUAAAAUAUUUUUCACCAACUUCAUUAGCAGCCGGAGAUAUUUUGAGUUGGGAGGAGAUCCCAAUCAGAGCUGGGACACCUUCCUGAUGAUUGAAAAUUCAAUGGUGACGUCUUUUAAGAGAAUCAAUGGUGACGUCUUUUAAGAGAAUCCAAAAACCAAAUAAUGAGACUCCUGUGUGUGCAGUUUGUCAAAAGCAGGUCCACUGAAGACUACGACUGCUUCUACCAAGACAUUAACGUGGCCUUAACAGUCGUACAUUAUGAUGGUGAUGCCGACAUGGGGACCCACCAUUUUGACUCAGCAUGUGCGUAACGUAUUACGGCAAUUUUAGCUCUCUCUCUCUUCUUCUUCUUCUUUUUUCUUUUCUUUUUUUUUUUUUAAUUUUUUGACGUGGGUGAAAGCUCCAUAGCUAUUUUCCAUCACCAUGACGUAACAUUACACAACUAAAUUAGAAUUGAAAGAACAAAUAAGGCCGGGCUUCUAAAUGUUACUGCAAUUUAAGGUAUUAUCAGUAACUAUUCGAUAAAAUUAUGAAAUUAUUACUUUUCUCAAGUCUAAACUGAACAUGUCAAAAUGUCCAUUCGCAGGCCCAUCGGUAUACACGAAAUUAUACCUCAAGUUGUAACUCCGCGAAUUCCAGGAUAGAUUGUUAAAUCCAAGUAAACUAUACUACUCUCGAAGUCUCGAUCCAAAAUGUGACACACACUAAAGGUAGACAAAAUUUGACUCGUGGAACACAUGUGGAAGACCCAUAAGGGGACACGUCAACAUGUUUCAUUUACCUAUCUUAAUUUUCUCUCUCAAAAAAAAAAAACUAUCUUAAUUUUCCACGGAAAGGGAACUAACCCUAGCCAAACUGAAACAACUCUCUCCAUACGAUGGGAAAUGCGCAAAAAUAAAUAUCCUACAGUUUUGAAUUGGUGCACAAUUAUGGGUGCAAUUGGUUGGUAGGUGUAACAAUGGUUCGUUUUCAUGAGUAGGCCAUGCAAAUACCCCCACUGGAGGGACUAAAAUUCACUCCGAAUUCAAUCUUAGAGGACUUACAUCAUCCUAAUCGCAUAUUUUUUAAUUCAAGAACUAAAAAUUCAAUAGCAAUAUAUAUAUAUAUAUAUAUAUAUAUAUAUCUGGCCUUUCACACUUUCCCUCAACUGUUGGAAUAACUCAAUUCCUUCCUACCUUUCUAAUCUACAACAAUACCAAAAAAAUAAGAGAGAGAGAGAGAGAGAGAGAGAGAGAGAGAGAGAGAGACCACCCAACAACCUACCACCAACCCGUCCAAACCCAAUCCGAAGCUGCUGUGACAUGUGGCUUUGUCCAUGUGGGACCCGUUCACAUGGAGUCCACGUGUCAGCAUCACAACCAGUGAUACGAUAAAUGCUACGUUAAUUGAUAAUUCAUUUUAAAAAAAAGAUUUUGAACGGCGCGGUGAGGCCCAGUGCAUAGAAAAAUUUUAGAAAGCAACAGAUAUACUAGUAACGUGAUGUAAUAAAUUAAUUAAAAAAAAUUUUAAAAAAAUAUAUCCCAUCACAAUUAUAAAAAACUAUUUUUAUUAUAUUUUUAUUUAAAAAAAAUAAAUACGAACCAAAUAUGAUAGCGUAGAAUUCCUCCUGUGCGUGCGAAUGGAGUUUAACGAGAUUACGGCACUCUCAGCGGAUAAUAAGCACGUGUGAAGUCCACGUAACAGUCCCACGAAGGACGACCAACACCCGUGCGCCGGGUGCACGACACACCACGUACGCCGCGUUAGCAUCUCAUCUUCGUUCUCAAUCCAACGGUGGCGCACUGAUGCACCAUUACACCAGGUGCACGGAUAAUUUACGGAAAUAAAAAGGGUAAGCACGAAAUUACGAAACUGACCUUGCCAUCGUACUCGCGUCGCUGGAGCACUUCGGGGGCGAUAUACGCCGGCGUCCCCACCGUCGAUUUCGGCCUCGAGUGGAGCAGCGACGACUAUUCAAUUUUUUAAAAAAAAAAUAUAAAAAUUAAUUAAUUAUAUAAAAUAAAAAAAAUUAAAUAUAUCUUUUCGAAAUUUUAAAAAUUAUUAAAAAUAAAUGGAACCUUCGAGUAACCGAAGUCGCAAAUCUUAAGGCGGGGCGCGGGGUUCCCAUCCAAGAGAGUGUUCUCGAGCUUCAAAUCUCGAUGACAUAUUUGCUAAAAAAAUGAAAGUCAAAUUAUUUAAAAGAUUUUACUAUUUUAUGAAAUAAAUUCAAUUUUGGAUAUUAUGGAUUUUGUUUGUUUUUUUUUUUUUUCUACCAUGAAAUGGCAGUAGCUGACGCCGCAUAUUAGCUGCUGAAAAAAAUAUCUCGCCUGUGAAAAAAAUAUAAAUAAAUUAAGAGAGAGUUUUACUAAAAUUAGACUAGAAAAUUGGGAAAUUAACAAUAGUAAUAAUAAUGAGGCAAAAGUGCACAGGGACCCCUCAACUAUCCUAUUUACACAUCGUCUACGUUAUGUAAUUUAAAUUUUUUUUUCUUUAAAUUAAGCUACAGAUGCAGUUAAUGGAAGAGUAAAUUGGUUCCAUCUUACUAAUUCGAGUGCUUUUUCAGCUGAUAAUAAUACAGAAAACUCAAAAUUGCAUUACAUUUUACCAGAUAAUGGCAAGAAAUAAGCUCGUUAAUUUUAAUGAACUUUUAAUUCAAAUUUAGUAAAAUUACUCGAAUCAAAUCGAGGGAGCAAAUUUAAAUGGCGUAUAGUUAGGGGGGUUUUCCGUGCUUUUUUUUUUUUUUUUUUUACCAAAAUCGUCGUACCUCGUCUUCGCUGAACCUCCCAGCGGUGCAGAUCCGAUCGAAGAGCUCGCCCCCCGCGGCGUACUCCAUCACGAUCGCGAGAUGCGUCGGCGUGAGCACGACCUAAAACCAAAUCACAAAACCCUAAUCACCCCCCAAAAUCGAAACCCCGAACCGCGAUCGAAAUUGGAAACCCUGUGAAAAUUUGCGGAUCCCGAACCUCUUUGAACCGGAUGAUGUUCGGAUGCCGCAGCGAUCGGUGGUUGAUGAUCUCCCUCGCCACGUUCUCGUCGAUCUGCGGGGGGGGAGGGGGGGAAGGGACACACGAAGAGCACGAGGGAUCAGGGCCGUAGGAUCGAGAAUCGAGGGGCGAAAUGAGUCGAUCGGAACCCUAGUUUUUGUUGCCGUGGUUGUUACUUACCUUUUGGCCCCUAGGGAUGUACUUCAUGGCGACGAGCUCCUUCGUCUCCUUGUGGCGCAUGAGGCGCGCGACGCCGAAGUUGCCCGCGCCGAGGUCCUUCAGGAGCUCGUACUUGUCCAUGGCGAUCGAAAGGGGAGGAGGUCGAAGCUGGGAGAGAGAGAGAGAGAGAGAGAGAGAGAGAGAGAGAGAGAGAGAGAGAGAGGCGAGGGGAGUGGUUAGGGUUUCGGAGAGUUUGGAGGAGGAAGAAGACGAAGUAGAGAGAGAGAGAGAAAUUUGAUACGAUACGAUGCGGAGACAAGAGGGUGCGGUAUAAUUUAGACGGGUGGGGUUUUCAGUGAGAGAGAGAGAGAGAGAGAGAGAGAGAGCGCACGUGCGAGAGAGGAAGGGGAGAGAGAGAGCACGUGCGAGAGGAGAAGGGAGAAUUUGGUGACGCGGGAAUAGGGGGGCAAUUAUAUCCUGCACCGGGUGUAUAAACAUCUCAUACACCACACCUCUGAAAAGCUGUCACAGAGGUCUAAAAAAUCGAAAUAUCACUCACUUAGUCACUUAACAAUCGCCUCAUUUUUUACCCCUUACCAUUAUUAAGAUUAUGUAAUGCUUUAAAUUUUUAGAUCUCGUAUUUGGCACGUUGAAUUUGAAUUCUAAAACACUAAUAAUUAAAAAUUGAUAAAAAUGUAUAGACUUUAUUUAAUGGGUUAAUUUCAUAGGAGCCCUCACACCAACCCCUAAUUACAUGGAUACCCUCCAAAAAUUCUUAAUAUCAAAAAUACCCUUCAAAUUUAGUAAAAUUAUCAAAACUACCCUUAUUACCUAUAUUUUAAAAAAAUAUGGUUAAAAUACCCAUUUUACCCCUCUCACUCUUACAACAAUUAUAAUAUAUAUUUUAUUACCAAGAUAAUAUACUUUUACUAUAAGUAUUUUUCUAGUUUAAUUUAAUUAAUUUAAUAUGUCUUCAUUUUAACUAGUUUAAUAUGUCUAUAUUUUAUUUCAUUUAACUAGUAUAUAUUCAUUUUAUUUGUUUAAUUACAAAUGGAAUAAUUAGAUACUUUUUGUUAGAUUUAUUUUAAGAUUUUUAUAUUGUUUUAGAUGUAGUUUGAAAAUUCUUUAUUGUAGCUUUAAUUUAUAUUACUAUGAGUUUUUUUUCAUAUUUGUCUUUUUAUAGUUUACUUUGAUUAUUUUUUAAAUCUUUCUAUUAUGUUAUAUAUAGUUUGAUAGUUUUCUAUUUUAUCUUUGAAAAUUUUUUUUGAUAGUUUUCUAUUUUAAAUGAAAAAAUAAUUAAAAUAAUCAAAGUAAACUAUAAAAAGACAAAUAUGAAAAAAAACUCAUAGUCAUAAUUUUUUUGAAAAAAUAAUCAAAUUAAACUGUAAAUAAAAAACAAAUUAAAUUAAACUAAAAAAUACUUAUAAAAAAAUAUGUAUUAUAAUUGUUGUAAGAGUGAGAGGGGUAAAACUGGUAUUUUGGCCAUAUUUUUUCUGAAAUUCAAGUAACAUGGGUAGUUUUGAUAAUUUUACUAAAUUUGGAGGGUAAUUUUGAUAUUAAUAAUUUUUGAAGGGUAUCCAUGUAAUUAGGAGUUGGUGAGAGGGUACCUAUGAAAUUAACCCUUAUUUAAUUUAUCAACCAUUUCGAAUCAACUAUCCUACCUGUUAAAAUUUUGAUUUUAGUAUCAACCUUUCAAUUUAUUUUAUUUGAACUAAUCAAUAGUAUUUUGACCUUAAAAUUUGAAUUGGUCAUUUAUUUUAACAAAUUUAAUUAGUUUACUCCACAUAAUUUUUAUAACAUAAUUACAUUUAUAAUUAUAGUUUAUUAACGUAACUACCUUAAAUUUUGAAAUAAAAAUAUUAAUGACCGACUUAAAUCAAAUAAAGUAAAAAAUUGUAUAAUAAGUGAAAAUUUUAAAUGUUUAGAUAUUCAGCUCAAAAUGAUUAAUAAUUUAUAGGAAAAACUUCAAAUACUCCUGUGGUUUCACACUUUCUCACUUCAGUAUCAUGUGGUUUAAAGUAUAUCAAAUUAGUACCAUGUGAUUUCGCACUUUCUCACUUUAGUACCCUAUGGUUUCAAGUGUAUCAAGUUAGUAUCUUGUGAUUUUGUACUUUCUCACUUUAUUACCUUAUGGUUUAACAUUUCGUUAAAUUAUAUAUCCCGAAAUGGAUAAUAAAAAGAGAAAAUUGAAACCACUGGGAACUAACUUGAUACAAAAAUAAAAUCAUAAGGUACUAACUUGAUACACAUAAAACCACAGGGUACUAAAGUGAGAAAGUGCGAAAUCAUAGAAUACUAACUUGAUACACUUUAAACCACGGGAGGCUAAAGUGAAAAAGUACGAAACCACACGUGGUAUUUGAAGUUUCCCCUAAUUCAUAUAAGUUUCCUACAAUUUUAUCUUAAAAAUCGAAAGUGGUGCAUGAGGCAUACAGAUGCACCGGGUGCAGGGAAAUUUCUAGGGAUAUAGAUUGCCGCGUCAGCGGGCUUAGAUCGGAUCGGACACAGAGGCGUCUUUCUUAUUUCAUUUUAUUUUAUUUGUUUAAUAAAUCAUUCUUUCAUGAUGUACAAAAAUUGAAUCAUUGCGAGGAUCAUGCUAACUCGAGCUCGAUUUCUUAGUUCGAUAAUGUGAAAAGAAGAGUAUGCUAAACAAAUAUUUUUACUUAUUCGAUUGUAAGAAUACGGUUAUGAAACAUACAUGUGCGUGAUAGAGACCAAAUUGAGAUUUUUGAUGGUCUAGUGCAAACUAAAAUAGCCAAAUUUUUGAUAAAUCGAAAAGGAGUCUAAAGCUCCUCUUUGAACCCUCUAUACAAUUUUUGGCCUUUGGUAGAAUAUCGAAAUAUAGAAAGAAAAAAAAAAUUGCUCAUUGGACUCGUCAAUGCAUCUAUUCGGUAAGAACGCGUGAUUACAAUCUCAAUGCAUGAUGAUGCUAUUACCAGAGAUUAAGACCUAUAAAUUUUUCGAAUCUAAUUUUUUUUAUAAAUAAAAUUUAAUUAGUUUAAUGAAUCUGAUCCUGACUAUAGGGUCUAAAGAGUGGUGGGGCUCGAGCUUGCUAUGUCGACCUUGAAUAAUAAAAUUAAAAAACUAAAACUAAAUUAAAUUAAAUUAAUUUAAAUUAAAUUGAUAAAAAAUUGAUUGAGGAGGAGUACAAGGAAUGGGAGAGGUGAGGGGUGGUGGUCGCGUGGGGUGCACAGUAAACCCACCCGGGCCCUGCGCCAUGGGGAAAUGGGUUGGCUCCUGGGGAUGGCAUUGACCAACGAUAUUUUUUUCACUUUAUUCUAUCAUAUUUUAUUUCGUGCAGAGCCUGCGCGUAUGUAAAAUCGUGCUUGUUUUGCUCUGUCGAAGUUUCUACAAAAGUGUUGAUAUAAAUAUUGAAAAAAAAUUUUCACUUAAAUUUAUUCAGUAAAUUUGAUUGUGAUUAAAAUAAAAGUUCUAAAUUAGAGCAUCUGAUUGCGAAGAGUAAUGUUAAAUCUUGAUCGACUCCUUUGGUUAAAUCUAAAAAAUGGUAUUCAAGUAUUGUAUAAUUUGGCCUAUUUGUUUUAAAUAUUUUUAAGAGAGAGGAUAGGGGGUGGUGUAUCUGACAAGCUUAGCAUGUGCCAUGUCUACACAUACUACUUGUUCUAAUGUUUUAUUUUAAGGUACGUAGUAGUGGGAGAUUGUAUUAUAUUUUAUGUAAUGUGGAUAUAAAUAUGAGAAACAGGGUACUUACGAACGGUUUCUGUAGUCUUAUAGAUUAUUUUAUUUAGUAUUAUAUAAUAUUGCUGUACUAUUAAAUAUUAAAUAUUCUUUUUAAUGAAGUGGUUUGACACUUAAAUGGGCUGUUGAGAGAGAGAGAGAGAGAGAGAGAGAGAGAGAGAGAGAGAGAGCAUCUAAUUUGAAAAGCCUGGUUGUGAGUUUAUCCCUGCUAGGUGAAAUUUUACUUAUUUGAGUAGCACUGAUUAAAAAGAUAAUAAUAAUAUUUUUAUUAGAAUUGCUUUAUACCUUUCUAUUUUCAUUGCAAAUAAAAGCGUCGAUCUAAAGCUUCUGCUUUUGAUGCUCAUUUCAGCUUCUUAUUACAACAAAACAAUAAAUUUUUUGCUCGUCAAAUAUCUGACUUCUAUGUUUCAAAAGUUAGGCCAAACAAGCAUUUAAGCUUUCGUAAGCUUAAAUAGCAUGAAUAAGUACAAAAUUUAUUAAAUCUAAUUAAAUUCAAUUAGUCAAUAGUGAUCAAUUUCAAUAAAUUUAUUUGUCGUUACUAAAUUUUGAAAGAAAUAUCAUCACCCUUAUAUAGAAAGGUAAGUGAGGCCCAUAUUUCAUGUGAUCACAUGGGCAUAAUAAAUUAAGGUCAACACUUUGAUUUAUUACCAGGCAACAUUCAGCAGAGGACAAUAAAAGCCACGCUAGCAAGCUAGAAGGGAUUCAUUCAUCACCAAACAUUGACCAUGCUACAUUAAUCCUCAGUGAUAAAUAGGACACAAAAAAAAAAAAACUGUGUUUAUAAUAUAUAACCCAAAAAGAAAGGAUAUUAAAAAACAAAAAAGGAAAAAGGAUUAAACCUUUAGAUAACUGAGAAGCCACAUCAAAUUUACAUCGAUCAAUAUCCAACUUCAUGAAACUCAGAAUCCUAAUUUCCUUUUGGUACUAAGUGCAGAAUCGCUUUUCGGCGUGAUUGUUCUUCCAAAUUAAGAGGAUAGAAUAGAAUAAGACUGUUUUUCUCGAGGAAUAGUUUUGAAAAUGGCGAAUAUAGCAAUCACACGAAGAGGCAGGGAUAGAAGAAAGAAUUUCAAAGAGGGAGGUGGAUAGCUAAAACUUUUAACUCAUAUUUUGGAAAUUUGACAGAAAAACUAACAUGCAUAUCAUUUGAUUAUUCACGGGGAUAACAUGUAAAUAACCAAAGAUUUAGGGGCUCAGUCAGUUACGGAAAGAUUUCCAGGGUUAGAUAUGCAAAAAUACAAUCUAAUGUACAGUGGAUUUGAGCUGUAAAUUCAUGGGCAUGCAGGUAUGAAACCACAUUAGCUCACUUUAACCAGGUGAAGAUUUUUACCGGUCCAACGGUUGCAAAAAUGCCGUGGUCUUUUCUCGGCCAUUAUCCAAGACUGAUUAGCAAUCUCGAGAACAUAUGGAUCGUCAUAUAUCAGUUUUCUCACUAGAUGCACCCACGUGGUCACCAAUGGCGGAUUUAGCAUUGGCGUCCAUAUCGCCAGAUACCUCAUUUUUUGGUUCUGGAUCCAUUACUUGAUUCUCUGGUUUUCCUUCAUUCAUUCCUCCACUAUCACAAGCAGCCUCGGUUAAUGGUCCAAGGGCAUGCUCUGAUGAAACUUGAGCUCCGCCAGCACCAUUUGAAACAGUUUUGUUCUCAUCAGCUUCGGUUGCUUCUGUAACCACUGAAUUACUAACAGUUGGUUGAUCAUUUGCUUUUGACUCAUCCAAAUCCUUUGUAUCCGCAUCACCAACCUCUUUGGUUAACGACUCAUCCACAUUAAUGGAUGCAGGACCAUUACCGUUACCCUGCUUGGUGUUAUCUUGCGAGUUGCUAAUCUUUGUGGUGCUGACUGUUUGUUCAAUUGCCUGUUCUGGUGCCUGCACUUCUUGGUUUUUUUCUUUCAGUGAAGUCGAUGAGGUUCCUGAAUUUACUACUGGGGGUGAAGGAGCAGUAACAGGCCGGACAUGCCGAGCAUUUAGAGGUUGUUUUAUAUUUAUGGUAGCUGCUAAAGACGGUUUAAGAGUUGCCACUGAACUGGAAAGGUUUAAUCCUCGGGGCCUAAUAUGAAAGGCGCUCUUUGAUUGUGCAGCUUUCAACAGGGAGGCGGCAGUGGAAGGAGUGGCGAUCCGGCCCCCCGCAGCAAAGGCUGCCGCUUGUAUCAAAGGAUUGGGGCCGAUGGAAGAAGCUUUUGUGUUAGAGGCUGCUUGUUUCUUUGAGGUGUUUAGGGGUUUGAUUAGAGGGUUUAGAGUUUUCUGAGGCACCAAUGGCUUUGCAGACUGCAGGAGUUGGUUAAGUGGGUGAGGGGUCGAAGAUGGUGUUGCCUCGGAUAAUGUAGCUGACAUUGUGGAACUACCUUGAGAGGUUAAAUUUGUUGCACCUGUUUCGAAUAAUUGAAACAACUUUUUCAUAAGGUUAGUACACAAUUUUAUGCAGAUAUACUGAUCUCACAAACAAGCUACCCAUGUCGAGAGAAAGACGGAGAAAGAGAACCCUGGUUAGAGUAAUACUGACCUGAUAAGAAAGUUGGCAAGCUUCCCGUCAUUGGCAUAUUGAUGGCCAAUGAGAGUGCCUUUUGUGCAGCCUUUCUUUCCUCAGAGCUAGCUAAACUGCUAGAUUUAUUCCCGUUGUUUUGGUUUAGAGAUGCCUGGCGUUUGAUGACACCCCAUCUCUGGACAUUCAGCAAAUAGCAUGUCUUUGGUAAUAGGACUCAAUAGGAGACAGUAGUUAGAACAGGCAAAAACUUGGUAAUAACUAUCCAAGAACAUUAGCAGUUUAAGUUCCACGAAAAAAUCCUUCUCUUCAUCACAUUACACACAUUCUCCUGCGCUCUCUCGUUGAUGCAGUAUAAUGUUCUAAAAGAAACUAAAAUGUGCCACUAACUUUUCCAUGGUCCAAGAGAGUGAGUGACUUUUUCAUCUUCCAAUAGCAAUCUCUCACGAGAAAAGAUGCAUUUUUUCAAAAAAAAAAAAAAAAAAAAAAAAAAAAAAAAAAAAAAAAAAAAAAAAAAAAAAAAAAAAACCUUCUAGAGAACUUGGUGAGUAACAAUAAUAUAAAUUGGGCUGAUUUUUGUCCUGUUAUGAAAAUUUUGGCCAUAUAUAUAAUAUGAUUUCAGUGUAAAUGCGACAGCACCGAUGUGAGAAGGAUGAUUUAAAAAAAAAAAUGCUAGAUAUCCUAUAAUCUAAAGAUAACUUGGAUGCUAGAACCAUCAUUCUGAAAUUUUGUAUCAGAUUAUCAAAUUUCAGCUACUUCCCUAACAUAGCACUAAAAAUUUCACAACUACAGAUUAGAUCAAUGUAAACACAAGAAAUAACAGAUCCAUCAACUUUGGCCCAAAUGUAAGCAAAGAUACUGGGCGGUAGUACCUGAGACAACUGCGAAGGUGUUCUGUCAUGCUUAAAAUCCCCUUUUAAUAUACUAGCCCAAUUACCUUCGCCACACUUCUGAACAGCAGCUAUUAAUUCCAUAUCCUCCUCUUUGGUCCAUAGUUUCCUCUUCUUCUUGGGGGGUCCACUUGAUGCUGCUGGCCCAUUACCAUCCAAUUCUUCAGCAGUUGUUCCAACUGGUAGGGACUGUUUUUGAUCAGGUAUGUUUUGGGCUAACGGGGCUUCGGCAUUUGUACUAAUGGGGCCCGGUUCAGAGCCCGAAGAACAUAGAACCUGUUAGUGUAUUUAACAAUAACAUCAUAAAGCCAUUAGUCACGUGUAAUCUCGCAAAGGUUACGUCUACUAAGUACUGGCUAAGUGGCUAUUUGGAAAGAGAACUUUGUAUUUAUUGUAGGUUAUGAGGAUCCUAAGGAUCUAUCUAAACCUAUCAAAUAGCUGUAACGUUUAUCAUAAUAAGAUCUGAGAGGGUGCGAGCGCACAUGGACCUACAACUUGUAAAGCAGUUGAUUCAUCAAAUUGAAACCAAACAAGUUAGAAUGUUUUGUUGAGGACUAAACCUUGACACAAGCUGCCACCUCAGAUGAUGUUUCCUCAUCAGCAACAGGAACAGCUUCUACUUCAAAUUCCAGAUCACUUUCAUCAUCCUGAAUUAACAAUGAACAAAGUAAUAUUAUUGAUCACGAUAAAGCUAUAUGCAUACCAAUACAGCCUGAUUUGCCAAUACCCAUAACAAAGAGAAAAUAAGAUUGAUUCUCUCUUUUGAUUCAGAAAUAAGAAAAUUUUUACACACCAAAUUAUGCAAUAAGAAAGUGAUAAAUUGGAACACAAGGUGUUAAAGUGGAAUCCGGUUAUACCGCAAGGGGCUAUUUAAAGUACUCCUCUAUUCAGAAGUUUGAGGUCUGUUUGUAUUCAUGCACAUCUUGUUUAGCAUAUAAAUUAUGUUUACUUGGUAAUUGGUUGACAGGGAGUAAACUGCAUCGUAUAGACAUUUUAAUCUACGUCAUUUUCAUGAAAUGUAGUAAAAGCAAAAUGCUAACUUGAACUUUAUAUAUAUAUAUAUAUAUAUAUAUAUAUAUAUAUAAACCCCUAUUUUACAGUUUAUCACUGGAUAACUUGUUCCAACAUCGAAACAAGGUAAAGUUUAAGCAUGGUCAAUAAAUGAGGUAAGACAAAGUUUAACGAACCAAAAGCUCAGCUCCAUCAUCAAUUUUUUCCUGUAAUAUGUGCUUGUAGGCCAAAUGUCUCCAUAUCAUCUGAUAUUCACAGGCACUAGUAAUACCAGUUGAAGUUCUUUUCACAAGUGUAUUCCAAUCCACUUUCGGACUGGCAAAUUGAGAAACUUCCUGGAGAAGAGUAAGAAUUGUUGUUGCUGGGUACCUAGAAAAACAGUGUUAAUGAAACAACAAGCGGCACUUAGCUACUAUAUUUUAAAUUCUAGAAUCGGCAAGACAAUUUAUCAUACAAAUGUUGGUUUUUAAAGAAAAUUCUGAAUACACUGGUGGAUACAAUGCAACCAUAAUUCGUAUCAAAUUUCUUCAGCUCUACAGUCAUAAGUUUCUUACCAAUUCUAUUUAAAACCAAAUUAUGAAUCAUCCUACCAGAUUAUAGGGAAUUACCCAAAGCAAGUCCACAAUUAAUAGAUACAAGAACCGAAACCUAGCUCGAGAAAAGGAAAAAAAAAAAGACGAAAUGCACGGUAAGCCAUUUUGAAUUGGCCUUCUCAAUUUUUAUUAUUACUUUUUUUAAGCGACACACUCUCAACUUUUGAAAUUUAGUUUUUGAGUGCUUUGAUCACAUAAAUUAGGAAUUUUAUCAAAUCCAACAGUAAUUCGGUUAAAUUUAACCGCUCUAAUCACAUUUUAUCAAAUAAAAUGAAACCAAUUAACAGCUAAUAGAUAACAGAACGAUCGUAUUUAAAAAAAUUCUCAAACAAACUAACUAGAAUAUAUCCUCAGAGCAUUUUUUACCUCGAGAACACCAGAAAAACCUAGGAUUUUCCCAUUCGAGGAACCCUAAACAACACCAAAAUGGAAGAUGCUACGAUCGAAUCUAUGCAAUCAAUUGAAGCAAGGUAACUAAGCGAUUCACGAAGGGACGAGGAAGAGAGGGACCUUUGGAGGAGGAGGGAGACAUCGUCCUCGUUAAUGGUGGCCUUCUUCUCGGUCGCCAUGGCCGAGUUCGGGGGAGGGGGAGAAGUGGAGAGAUCGAUUUGAGGAGGAGGAGGAGAGCGCGGAGAUGAAGCAGAGAGCGAAGUGGAGAUCGGCGAACUCGGGCCGGGUCGAGAUCACCGGGCCGGGAGUAGGGAUCUCGAUAGCUACGGAUACUCAAAAUUUUAUAUGAACCUGAAUCUGAACGGGGCGGUACUCAAAAUUUAUCUGAUACUAUAAUGAUAUGAUUUCGAAUAUGGAUAUUAAAAAUAAAAAUUUAGCGGAUAUGAAUUUUAGCUGUACUCGAUUCGAAUCUAAAUUUAUUUUACAUUAUAUAAUAUAUAUAUAUAUAUAAAUUUGAUGUUAUAUUUAAAUUUAUAUUAUAAAAAUUUAGAUUUAAUAUAAUAUAUUUUGAAAUAAUAAAAAGAGAAAUAUGUGUUUUCGGUCAGAUUUUUGGGUUCGGAUUCGGGUUCAGAUUUUAAAUUUUUUAGUCGGGUUUGGCUUUGGACAUAAAUUUUUAAAAUUCGUUAGAUUCGGUUUCGGGUUUGGAUUCGAUUCGGAUUCAUAUUUUUGAAAAUCCGUCUUGAAUCCGAACCGUUGACGGGAGAAAUUGAUUACUCCAUUGAACCCAUUUCGGUUUUGAAGUAACUUAGCCACAACAUACGACUAUACAAGCGAAAAGUGUAAUUAUUAUUUAUAUAAAUCUGCAACUUUUCAGAUAAUUUCAAAAUAGUUUCUACCAAUUUUUCUACUUAUUCAAAGUAAUAGAUUGAAAUGUGAAUUAAUUAGACUUCAAACAUGAGAUCUCAACUAUCAAUCAUUAACAAACUGUGCUAGAUAUGGUUUGCUAGAAGAGAGAUUUUUUUUUUUUUUUUGAAGUCAAAAUUUAGGGGCAUAUAAACACUAAACUUUAGCGGACUUUUUGCUGAAAUAAUCUGAAACGUUAGGGGCUUGCAUAAAAGUAUCCUUUUACAUUUGAGUCCGGUCCAAAUUGAUUAGACCGGGCCGAGUUAGGCCUUUUAGACCACAAUUGGGUCGAAGGGGGCCCAAAGGCCCAUUAAUCGCCCUUUCACUCCUCGUCCCAAACCCGAUGACUCACCUCUCUCUCUCUAUACUCCUUUUACUCCCUUCUCCAUCUCCUCCUCUCCCUCUUCUCCCCCACCGUCACCGGCGCCGGCGCUGACGAUCUGGCGCCAUUUCCGGCGAAGCUCCGGCGAUAGCCAUCAUACUUCAUCAUCUAUUCGCUCUUCUACCUCCUCCGAUCGCAGAACCGUAAACCCUCGCUUCGCGUUGCAUUAGAUCGCGCCCAUCUACGCCCAAUCUGAGGAGAAGAUCCGGUAAGCGAGAUCCCUAAUCUAUCUUCUCUGAUUGUACGUUAUUGGGGGUCGUUUUGAUGAUGAAGCUCUAAUUUUGUUAUCUGUAUUUAAAGGAAGCGUCGUAAUCGAUCUACCAUAUCGAAGCAUGGAUAAAUUGGUGGAGUUUGGGAGAAAAGCUUGGUUCAUUGUUAGGGUUCUAUCCGGGUACGAAGAGAGGAGAAUCAGAUCUUACAGGUUGCUGCUUCAGAAGCGGAUCGAACAGGUUGUUCUUAUAUCUACUUGAUGCAAAAUUGUUUCGUUUAGAGCUAUUUCGGGGUGAGAAGAAAUAGAAAAUCCUAAGAUGUCAUAUAUCUUUACUCCCAUAUUCUGAAAUUGCUGUGCUUAAGUAGCAUUUUGAAAUGUAGUGCUUAUUUUCUGAGUACAAUGUGUUGUGCUUUAAAUGGUUUACUGAUAAUCAUGUGUAAGUGUGCUUUCCCGCAUGGUUCUGAAUUCUGAAACAACUUCUCUACUUGAGAAGAUUUUCAGAUGGUGGGCUACAAAAAACUCUUGUAGUUCCGGUGGAAAGAAAUUGAGAGGAUUUAAUGGAAAAUCAUUAUGGUUUCUCAACCUACUGUAUCUGAAUAACACCUCUGCAAAAGUUCCGAUCACACCAAAUAAGAUGCAAAUAAGCCCAUUGGUAAAAAUGAUUGUCACACUGGCAUCAGUGUGAACCUCUUAAAAAGACAUCGACAUUGCAUUAUAACACUUCCCAACGACUUCCAUUUUGGUGCGUACACCGCUUAUGAACUCCAUGUUCUAUAAACAUGGUUCUGGAAUUGGCAUAUGCUGAUUUCUUAACGCUUGCUUAUGACAGUGACACAAUUUCUGCCACUGGAUAAUUUAAACGUUCUACAUAAUGUAUGAUAGUACAAAAUAAAACAAUUUACAACGUAUUACAAUACAAAUUCAACGAGUUCUUUGAGAUGCUCUAUUUUAUUAUUUAUCUUUUUGAUGCAUUACCUUUUCUUUUGUGUCAUAUUCUUUCAUAUUUAUAAUGUUUGGAUUGCAUUUGACUCGCUUGCAUAUGUAUCAGCAUAUGGACCUGUUAGAUACUGCAUAGUUUCUAUAUGAUUUCCCAAUGAUUUGCAUACUAUGGCUGCUUUUAGGAUGUUGGCAUUUUUAACUUUUCUACCUUUAACAUGUAUACAUUUAUCCGAGCUUUACGUAUGCUAUGUAUUGGUUUUAUACCUUAUUUUAGAUUGUAUAGCGCCAUGUAUGGAGCAGCAUACCAGUUAGGCAUUAUAAGAUGGCUUGACCAUCUGUAAUCUACUUGGCACCUCGUAAACUCAUUGUGAAGGAUGGCCAACCUUCAUUAUCUGGCCCACCAGGAACCUAUGAGCUAAACUAUUGCAAGAAAAUCUAACAAAUGCCUCUCUACUUGGUCAUCUGAAAGAUAGGAAUAUGCGAAAUUCUAUCCGAAUGUCUUAUAGAGGGGUAUAGAUUAGCAAAUCCAUGUAAAAUUAAUCCUCUAGGCUGAAAGUUUACAGGCUUCAGAAAGAUGGUAUUAGGGUGGAUAUGAUAUUUGAGAUGGUCUCAAGACUGAAAAAUAGGUGGUUGGUAGCAAGAUGCUUUUCGGUAAUGAAUAUGCUCCGAGAAGUACAUAGAUAACCUUCUUGAUUCUGGGUUUAAAAGUUUCAAAAAGAUGGGAUAAGGGGGGGAUAUGAUAUUUUGAGUAGUCCUCAGGACCGGAAAAUAGGAAAUGGGUAGCAAGGUGCUUUCGGUAAUAAAUAUGCUUCAAGAAGGAUGACGAAAAAUUAAGGAGAUGCAGUAACCAAGAGAAUGAACAGAGCAGGUACCCUGGGUUGAAAGUUCUUGAAGUUCUUCUAAUCAGUAAACAGUAGCAUGCAUGAUUAUAAAUGGAGUAUGUCAGAAUUGUUUGCAUAUAUCAUAUGCAAUGAGCUGGACCUAAUAAAACUAACCCAGUCCGCACUUAUUUGAUACGUAAAUUCGUCGAUCGUUGUACACUAGGGUUCAAAUGACUAUUUUUCAUUGUGUUUUUGUCCAUCGUUUUUUCUUAUGUCUUUUCAAUCUGGAGUGUUCUAUCAACUAUUCUCUUGCUCGAUUGUUUUGGAAUGUAAAAUAGGAAGAGAUUAUGUUGCCUGAGGAGAAACAGAUGAAUAUGUACUAACAGCAAGUUUUAUUGCACAUUGUUCAAAAUAUUUGCAAUCUUAAUAUAUAGGUAAGUACCUAAUGUUAUAAACAAUCUUAUCGUUUUAGUUGUUCAGUUAUAAUCUGAUGUCAUUCCAUGCUUUUCAUUCCUUCAUUGUGCUCAUAUUUCUGGUUUAAAAUUAAUUAUUUGUAUCAUCUGUUCAGUCACAAACUAGGAAACAAGAAUUGAGGAGGAUACCGGAACAGGCUAUUUUAUCAGAGGUUCGUCGCAUGGUCGAGGAGAUGCAAGCAUUAAACCGUCAGCUUGAUGAAACAGUAAGUUAUCCUUUCACAACAUACAUCAUUUUAUGUAUUUGGUUCUUCUAUUCUCUAUUGCUUUUGUUUUCUUACUGAAAUUGUAAAGAGAAGGAUAAUUUAGUAACUUUAGUAUACCUAUUUAAAACUUGGAAAUUUGGCCUUAUAAUAUUCUUUGCCGCUCUAUUGCUCAAUUUUCAAAUGUGGAAGGCCAAAUAGAUUAUUUGGGUUUUUUGUGAAAAUAAUCAAUCUUUUUGUGAUAUUGCAUCUCUAUUCAUUUCUUUUUUUCGUUUUGUAGCUUUGGGUUAAAUGUUCUUUUGUAAACUGAAAUGCCUUUACCGGUAUGAUAAAUACUUGCACUUUGAGUUAUAGCCAGGGAAAUUUUGGUCCAUUUGAAGCUACUUCGAUCCAAUAUCAUAGAAACGAAAAAAAGUGAGCGAAAAUUAGGGGGAAAAAAACAAAAAAUGGAUUAUUUUUCACUAUUCUUAUUUCACGAAAUCAUGAAAAUGAAAAGGAAAAAAAAAAAAAUCAGUGGUUGCUUCUGUCAGUUGAAUGUCAGUGGCAUUACUUUGUGGUAACAUUUCCCUUCCACAGGAAGCUGCAAUCGAAGAAUACUUCAAACCGAUCGAUAAGCACGCGCAGGUAAUAAUGAAUAUGCAACUCGAGAAAGAGGAAAAGCAAAUGAAGGAGAUGGUAAAAGCCAUGCAAGAGCAAAUGAUGGCACAACGAGAGAUGGUGAUCAAGCAAAUGGAAGCUGCUAAUCUUACUUCGAACCACCCCGAUCGAAGUACACCCUCGACACAUUCGAACCAAGAACAAGUCAAAUAAUCCUUCACCAAACUUUGUUGUAUUUAUCCUUUAUGGAGGAAUGUAUGUGUAUCCACUCUUUGCGCGCGAUCUGGUUAGCAAUAAUAAGGUAUAACAAUUUGUAUCAGAAAUCUCGUCCUCUUUUAUCGAGAAAGUGCGAGUUUCUUGACAUUUUUGUCAUACCCUUGCUCUUUGAAGGUGAUUUUUGUUUUGAUGGUAGUAGCAUAUUGUAUUUGAGAGAUCAUAUGUUCCGAGCUUUUUUGAAAUAGCUUUACUUAAACAACAUUUCCGUAGAAAGUCAGCAAGCUUUCUGAAUUUGCUAAUGCAGGGAUUGGGUUUUGCUAUGAUGACUUUAUUUUAUCCCUCUGUUUAAAAUAAUCCGGUUAAAAUGCUUAAAAAUAUAAAGUUGUUGCUCAAUUAUUGAAUACACGUCACAUCGGUAGUUGACCUUUCCUAUUUUGUCAACGCACACAAAAUUGAACGGUGACCGUUAUCUCGUGGGAUGCAUGUGGGAACAAAUAAAACAUGUCAUAUCUAAAGUGCCUCGUGUUACUUAUGGGCCCUUGGAUCUUUUAUGUACGAUUUAGGGUGUGUUUGUUUCAUCUAAUCUCAGAGUGCCAAAUUACGUAUUCUAAUACUUUACAUGCAUGACUUUUGGGUGAUGAUAGAAGAGGCUAGAGAUCAACCCUAAUGUUCUGACCAUAUACAUUGUUUUUUUUUUUUUUGUUUUUUUUUAGAAAUAGAUAGCACGUUACUCGCUUCGUUUAUUUCAUUUAGAAAUAAAUUUAGCUGGAAAUGUGAAUCAACUAGAAUUCGAACUUGGGUCUCGGAUACCAACCACUAAGCCCAACUAGGAUUCGAACUUGGAUCUUUUAUGUACGAUUUAGGGUGUGUUUCUUUCACCUGAUCUCAAAGUGCAAAAUUAUGUAUUCUAAUACUUUACACGCAUGACUUUUGGGUGAUAAUAGAAGAGGCUAGAGAUCAGCCCGUAUGUUCUGACCAUAUACAUUGUGUUCAGUGUGAAGUAUCCACUAUAUUUUCUAUUAUAACAAAAAUUGAAUCAACAUAUAUCAAAAGCUAGUGAUUUUCACGGUUUAUGCGACCUUAGCAAAAUCAGCAGGCCACGGAUAAUCGAAUGUUUGUUUCAAUCUAAAUUGGAGAAAACUUUUGUUGCAUUUUAACAGGGGAAGCAAACAAUUUGUCCAAUCUAAGGCAAAAACGGACUACAAACUGUUCGGUCCAUGGUCCACGUGGUACUCAUGGUGCUCCCAAUAAGCCAUCGACCCAAAACCCACUCAUGUCCCAAAGCUUUUGCAGCCCCAUGAGUCAGUAUCAAUCGCAAUUUUAGUAUCCCCAAUUGUUUCUCUCUCUCUCUCUCCUCUUAACUCCCUCCAAAACGUCUCUCUCUCUCUCUCUCUCUCUCUCUCUCUCUCUCCACCGCCAUUAUUCAAAUCGUAGCCGUUGAAAUCCCUGCCUCUGAAUCUCUCUCUCUCUCUCUCUCUCGCACGCUCGCAUACCCUUUCAAUUUCAAAUCUCCAAUUAUUUUACUGAGGGGGGUGGUGGGGAUUUUAAAAGCUACGGCGGAAACCAAACGCAGGAUAGAGAGAGGCGACGACGAUUUCACAUUUCUCACCUUAAAAAAAAAAAAAAAAAAAAAAAGAGAAAGAAAAAUUCCUCUUCUCCUCUCUUUCGAUUCCUAGGGUUUCCGCUCCGAUUCCCUCCCCGCCACCUUCACCUUCACCCUAACCCUAAGCCCCGAUUUCGGAUACGAGAGGGAUGAGCUCCCAUGCGGUUCCCCACCAGAGAAGGAUCAGCCACUCCGCACGCCGCGCUCCGGCGCCUGCGGCGGCUGCGCGGAAGCUCGAAGCUGGCGCCGAUGGCGGCGGCGCCGGAGGCGGAGGCGUCGCCAACGGGAAGAGCUCCAAGCCCACGUCGCCUUCGAAUCAACCCUCGUAAGAUCCCUAGCUGCAGCUCCUUUGUUCUUGUGGGUUGUUCAUAGUUUUGGGCGGUUGCUGUAGGGGGGAGAGAACGGUUAAGAAGCUGAGGCUUUCGAAGGCGCUUACCAUCCCCGAGGGCACGACGGUCUCCGAUGCGUGCCGGAGGAUGGCGGCGAGGAGGGUGGAUUCGGUGCUGCUCACUGAUGCUAAUGGGCUCCUCUCCGGGAUCGUCACUGAUAAGGUUUUGAUUCACCGAAUCCAUUUUUGGCGUGUUUGGUGUGAUGAUAAUUGUGAAAUAGUUACUUAAUUCGAGCUAUUUAAUAAAAUUGAUAGGAUAUAUCCACAAGAGUGAUAGCGGAGGGAUUGAGACCCGAGCAGACGAUCGUGUCCAAGAUCAUGACGAGGAAUCCAGUGUUUGUCAUGUCCGAUGCGCUCGCGAUGGAGGCGCUGCAGAAGAUGCUUCAAGGUUUGCCUAGUUAGAAGAUUGGUCCUUUUGAUAUAUUUUUGUUAGUUGCUUCUUUGUUCUUCCGCUGCUGUGGUUUUGAUGUUAUUUGGAAGCAACACUUGAUUAUGUUGGGGUUCGUGAAGAGGAACAGUAAAGGUACUACUUUUGUUUAAUGGAGAGUUAUUGUUGAGGAGGAGCUCUAUUGGUAAUUAUUUCAUGCUGGAGAACUCUGUUUAUGAUUAUGGUUAGCUUUCUCUUUGCCGAUAAAUUUUUGGGUUAGGUGGAGAAAUUAAAGUAGGAAAAGAACAAGUUUUAGAUGUAAAAGCCCGUCUGAAUUGGGAAAGGAACAUUUGCAGUUUCUUCGAGUGCUAGCCUGUCACAGUGUCACCAGCAAAACUGUCCUUCUGCUUAACUAAGAAGUGAAGAUUUUUAUUUGAUUCUUCUUUUUGUGGCUACCCAUAACCAUUUUCUUAUGGCUGGAGAGUAUAUAGAAAAGUGCUUUAUGAUAGGUAGUGAUAUUUGUUUGUAUCACUGCAAGUUAUUCAUGUUGCUAACAAAACGUAGUUUUCCUUGGAUGUCAAAGGCAAAUUUAGGCACCUUCCUGUGGUAGAAAAUGGUGAAGUUGUUGCCAUGCUCGACAUCACAAAGUGCCUUUAUGAUGCAAUAUCAAGAAUGGAAAAGGCUGCAGAACAAGGCAGUGCGCUAGCAGCUGCUGUCGAAGAGGUUGAACGCCAGUACGGCAGCAAUUUUUCAGGUGCGUUGUAAUUUCACUUAUGUUGCUUCACCCUCAUUUUUUAUAUUAAUUAUGUAAAUUUGUCUGUUUAACUGCUUUGCCUCCUGUUUAAUGCAUUGAUUCUUUAUUUUCCUGGCUGCAGCUCCUUAUGCUUUCAUAGAAACCCUGCGAGAAAGAAUGUUUAAACCUUCUUUGUCAACCGUGAUCACUGAGAACUCAAAGUACGUUUGGAACUUUAUACAAACACUUUCGUCCUUAAGGAUAUCUCCAACAGUAAUUUAUCUUGAAGAAAUCGGAAAUAGUUGAAGUUUGAUAAGUAUUUCUAUAUGCAGGGUUGCAAUAGUAUUCCCUUCAGAUCCUGUCUAUGUUGCCACAAAAAAGAUGCGCGAUAAUCGUAUUAAUUCUGUGAUCGUCAUGACUGGAAGCGCAGUUCAAGGAAUUCUAACGUAUGUUUUUUGCUUUGUUGAGUAAUGCUUUGACAGUAGUUUGCUGAAGAUUUACUGGCUUUGUUGUUUCCACUUAUUUUAUAUUUUGAAGUACACAUUUAAGGUGUUCAUCAAUACAUGCUUUGUUGCAAUUUUCUGCAGUUCUAAGGAUGUGCUUAUGCGAGUAGUAGCACAGCAUCUUUCGCCUGAGUUGACUUUGGUAGAAAAGGUUUGUUAUGUCAAGUUCCUUUUGCAAAACUCAACUAGAUUUUCUAAAUACGUAUUCUCUCUUUUUUGUCGCACUUGCUACUAUAUGAUUGUGAGUGUCUAAUUAAAGCUCUCUUGGUGCUUUUUUUAUCCUGCUUUUGCAAGAAUGGUAUACUUAAUUAUAGUCUUAGCUGUGAUCUUUGUAAUUGCAUCUCUUAGUUGGAUUUUUGGAUUCUGUGACUUUUUAUCCGGGAACUGGAUAUAUUAAACUUUUUCAGAAUAUAUCAUACCAAUGCUUGUCAUUGGUUAUUCAAAUUUUCCCACUUCUUUGCUAACUUGUUUGGCUAUUCGCAAAUUUACCUAGUGGUGUGGUUGCUCCAUUACAAUUCGAACCUUAUUAAUUGUUUGAAUUCAUCUCUGUUCUUAUAAUAUUUUAGUUGCUUCACUACCUUGGAUUUAUUAUUAUUAUUAUUAUUUUCCUGUUGCUAAGUGUUUAGCACCAAUUUUCUGUUAAGCUCUGAAGUAUCUUACUUUAAUACUUUCUAUUAUUACUACUGAAGGUAAUGACUCCGAACCCUGAAUGUGCUACUUUGGACACAACAAUUCUUGAGGCGCUCCAUAUAAUGCAUGAUGGAAAAUUCUUGCAUAUUCCUGUGCUCGAUAGAGGUAACAAUUUAUUAUAGAAGACAUCUUGUUUUUUUGUUAAUUUAUAUCUGUAACUGGCAAACAUCUUUUUGCUUCUACUUAUGUAAUGUAACUACUUGAACAGAUGGCAAUAUCACUGCUUGUUUGGAUGUUCUGCAAAUCACUCAUGCAGCCCUUUCGAUGGUAAGGAUAAUGACUAUUAAUAUGCCUUUUGCUUGAACCAUAAAUUGCCUCUCUUUUGAUUAGCUACAUCUAUGUGUACUGAAGGAUUUAUAAACUGCAGUUUUACGAGUUUUUUGCACAUACACCUGGCCAUUAUGUAAAUUUGCAUAAAUAGUCCUGCAAAGUUGGUGCCUGCAUGCAUUCCUAAACACUAUAUAUUUGUAAGGGAUAAGGUGAUUGCAUGCAUUCCCAAACGUAGUAUUUACUUGUGAGGUAUAUUAGAGUAACAAUUUUUGCUUUGAUUCCUCCAGCAACGUCAUAUGUGCAAGUAACAUAUGCAAAAAAAGGAAAAAGGAAAAAGGAAAAAUAAGAAAAAUAGGAGACAAGUUCUAUAGUCUAUAACACUAGCCAUAUUGCUUCUGCUGCUGUUUAUCUACUUCUUAUAUAUAUAUAUAUAUACACACACACGCACAGGUUGAGGGAGGAUCAGAAGCUGUAAAUGGCAUGGCAAACACAAUGAUGCAGAAGUUUUGGGAUUCUGCCCUUAAUCUGGAGCCACCAGAUGAUGAGCUUGAUAGCCGCAGGUUUUUCGCAUUUCAAACCCCUUCUCCCAAAAGUUUUUUCUUUAAAGUAAUUUUCUUUUUCUCGUUUGUCUGCAGUGAUGUUUCAAUGUUGAUGGCAUCAGAAUGUGCAGAAGGGAAGUAUACAAAUCCUCCUUCUGUUGGUCACUCAUUUGCCUUCAAGCUUGAAGACCGAAAAGGGCGUGUGCAUAGAUUCAACAGUGGUGAGUGUGCAAUCGUUUUUCUGUCCUUCAAUGCUGGCCUGCUUGGCCAUGCUUCUGAUGCGCGCUGAAUCACUUUGUGCAAAGUGGAAGUGAUUUAGCAUCUUGGUUCUUGUGAAUGCAGAAAUAUGCCCAUCAGAAUCACAAGCAAUAAUCUGAGGAUUCUUGUGAAAGCGAUCCUGCAAUGAGGUCUUCCAGCAGGUGAUUCCACGUGCAUCUGGGCCAAUACCUGUUAAUUGUCAUAUUUAAGGUUCCGUAUAUGACACUUCAUGUUUUUUUACUUCUCAUUGCAGGUACAGAGAACUUAACUGAGCUUGUUACUGCUGUGAAGCAGAGAAUAGGGAUCAACGAUGAGGAGAAAAUUCAACUUCUGGUGGGUUUUUUAAUUGUUAUGUCAAAAAGUAUAAUCAUGUCAAUGGUUUGGUUUCAGAGUUCUACGAAUUUGGUUUUUGAGCCAAAAAAAUUUGCUCCCUUGGGCUCCCCACCGUUCUUAGAAACUAUUGAUCCUUUCUAAUGCAGUAUGAAGAUGAGGAAGGUGACAAAGUUCUCCUAACUACUGAUGGCGACCUUACCGCUGCAGUGUAUGUCGCGAGAUCAGCUGGAUGGAAGGUUAGUGUUUCUCUUGAGGAUUUAAUUCAUGUAGUUAUAAAGAUUGAAACCAAUAUACAAUUUGCCGCCUUUUUCUUGGGGGGGAUGCAUUGGAUAUCAUUAUGCAAGGAAAAGUUGAUUGAGAUACCCAUCUGUUACUUCUAGGUCAUUCUAGAUAGAAUUUUUGAUAGCGGAGUAGGUUUAAUUUUAUUUCUCCAAAUCAUCUAUUCACGUAUUCAAUAAACCUAUGUUGACUUUCCAAUUGUUUUACUUAUUUCAGGUUCUGAGGCUUCACGUUGAUGAUGUUAAUGCUGAGAAGGAAACGGCAAAGCCAUCGUCGAAACUAGCGACUGCCCAAAAAAGUCGGUGGACACCAAUACAAGUCGGGUUUGUUACAGGUGCAGUGGCUCUUACAACUAUUGGUGUUGUGGCUUACUUGAAACGCUCAAAUGUGUGAUAUCCUCUGAAAAGCAGGACAGAGUAAUCUUAGUGGGCAAUUAUGCAGCUAACUAUUGAAGCUCUCCUGAUCAUAUAGGAGAUAAAAUGCAGUUAAGUUAUUUCAAAAUCUCCAUUAGAGAGAGAGAGAGAGAGAGAGAGAGAGAGAGUUAAUAGUUUUAUGGGGAGGGUGAUUGAAAAUUUGAGGCAUUAUGGGUAUAAAAGUCAUAAAGGGAAUGGAUGAUACCAAUACGUCACAAAAACCAAUACAUUGCUUUUACCAAAAGGGUGAUACCAAUACGUCACAAAAACCAAUACAUUGCUUUUACCGAAUAGGAAAAAGCUUGUAUUUUAAUGCUAUAUGUCUCUGCUCUUUUCCUGCAUCUGUUACAUUAAUUUCUCUUCAUCUUGUUUGAAAUUUUGCUCGUCAUCGUAUUUGCAAAAAUAAUUGUAUGGAUCUACACCUGAAUAAGAUGACAAGCAUCAUCCACAGAAUGUGAAAGCUUUGGUGUGUUGUCCACAAUGUAAAGUAAUGCAAUUAUUGCGUGUUGUUAUUAAUCGAACUGAUCUUGGUGUGAACAGAUAGAUUCGUUGAAUUUCGGCGUUAUGUACGUGAUUGAACAUUUGGCAAAUUUGAUUUGUGUAUUUAUGUAGAUAUUAAAAGCUUGUUGUGGGCCCUGUUUCUUCACCAUCUAGGCUGGCUCAGAAAUUGUAGAGACCCUCUUUUGGGCCAAAGCCACGUGAAAUAACUUCUUUUACAAGAAAAAAAUUGCGUGCCUGUUCUCUUGUAUGAUCUUGAUGUGGCCUACAAAAUUUCAAUUCAUCUUUGAACAUCACUUACUUUUCAAAACUGAUUAUUACUUCACAAUGUUGAAGAUGCUUACAUUUAUUCUCUCUUUUUGGGCUCAGAGAACAUGCACUAGAAAUGAAGAAAACAGCCCCACAAUUUCUUUUUUUUUUUUUCUUUUGGUUAAGUUUUUGUGAGUCUUCGAUAAAGCCAAUAAUUGUAUUGUUCCACAUGCUCAUCGGCUCAUGUGAAUUUGAAGCCAUUUGAUGUUGAUGAUGAUGUUAUAUAACACCCGCCACAAACACCAAAAUGCUUCAUGCAGGCUAAGUAGCAUACAUAUCCAUUUGUUUUGAACAUAAAAAGUGAAGUCCCUUUUUCUCCAUUCCUCGUUGUCUUUUCCUAUGAAUUUGUGUAACCUUUUUUUUUUAUAUAUCUUGUCCUAUGAAAUUAUCACCUUGUGCUCCACCAAGCUAUUCUCUUUCUCUCUCUCUCUCUCUCUAUAAGUCACGGGCCUUCAUAUUUUUUUUGGUUAUUUGGGCUCUAUUUCUCAUAUAAAUCUCACUUGAUUUCUUGUAUAAAUGAUCAGUAUUAUGAUUUGUAUCCAAUACGAGGCUAAUAUUCUGAACAAUUAUUAUUACAAACUAUACAUUAUAUUAUCUUCCUAAUGUGCUAUUAUUAUCGAUCAUUCAUCUGUUUGAGGUUUAUCAAGGAAACAUGUUACAUGAGCUAUAUAUUCGCCAUUGACGAGUUUUAGCUAUAUUUAAACUGUUAAAGAGCUCAGAUCCAACCCACAAGAUUAAACUGAUAGGUUCAUCGCAUUAUAUGAAAGUUUAGACCUUAAGCCUCCGUUUGGUUCGGGGUUAAGGAAAAAGUAGCUAUUCCAGAGAUAAGAGUUAAGUUCAGGGUUAAAGUGGGGUUAAAAUUUUUUUGUGUUUGGUUGGGGGUUGGAGUUAGUCUAGAAUAAUAAAAAAUAGUGUUUGGUUGGAGUAGAUGGAAUAAGAAGAUAAUGAUUGAUAAAGAAGGAUAAUGAUUGGUUGGAGUAGAUAGGAUAAGAAAGAUAGUGAGUUAUUAUGAAUAGAAAAUAAUGUUUGGUUGGAGUUUGGUGGGGUUAGGUGGGGUUAGCUAAUUCGGGAUAAUUUAUUUGAGGUGUGGUUAGCUAACCCGGGGUUAAAGGAUUAUUCCACCCCUUAACCCCCAACCAAACAAGGGUUUAAUAUUCAAUGUGAAACUAAAAUUUGGAACCAAGUAAAAGAAUUUUUUAGAAUAUCAAACGCUCGGUAUGUGUCUUAGUGCCGGAGAUAUGCUCGCUUAGGCACACAAGGAUUUAUUUUUCUAGUUUUUUUUUUUUUUUUUUCUUUUCUGUUUUUGCUAUGGAGGCCUUUUCAGUUCAUCCUUCUAAUAAAUAAAGCGGUAGCAUGCUACCUUAUUCUAAACAAAAAAAAAAAAAUCACGGAUUUUAGUGUGUUUGGACAGCCGACGAAAUUACUUUUCUACCCUUGUAAUUUGGGAACAGAACACCACUACAAGCAUUAUUUCGACCUAAAAAGGCAUGUGAUUGUGAAUCUCUAAAACUUAUGGUUGGUUAUCUUUUGUUAGUUAAUUUCUCCUUUGGCUUCUCAAAAGAAUGAAAAGGUUGUUUAAAAAGAAUAGCAACAUGAGCAAUAUGUUCUUUAAAUUAUUUAUUCUAUAUAUUGUGACAAACACCACUUUAGUGAUAAAUAACAACAAAUUAGGGCUUACUUUUCCUUCUAUUUUUAAUGAAAAGUCAAAAUAAUGCACUUGGCAAAUAACAAAAAACUUAAAAGAUUUUAUUGCAGGAAAAGCUGUUGAAAAAAUUUUAAUAUAAUAUUAUAGUACUAUUUAGAUAAUACUUUGUCAUACUGCACCUCAGAGCACAUACAUUAUAUUUAAUCAUAUUUUGAACCUUUUUGCUAUGACAAUAAUAAAUAUCGCUUUGAUAAUAUUGAUUUCCUAUUGUAAGGCUGCGUAGAGGCUCAAAAAUAUGAUUAACACAAUUGUGUUAGCUUAAAUGAACCUACAUUCUACCUAUGGGGGGAGGUCAGAUUGGGCCUGAGUCAUAUUCAAAAUGAUGAGAGGUUGGGUUAAACCAAGUCAUGUUUUUUUUUUUUUUUUUUGAGAGAGAUAGGUAGCAUGUUACCCGCUUCGUUUAUAGCUAGAAAUGUGAAUCAAUUAGGAUUCGAAUUUGGGUCUCGAGUACCAACCACCAAGCCUUUUGCCACUUGCUCUAGGGACAGUCGGUUUAAACCAAGUCAUGUUGAAAAUGGAAUGAGGCUGAUUGGACCGAAUCAAAAUCGAAAUUCAUGGACGUUGUGCCUGUACACAAUGAAUUAAUUAUAUGUUUUUAAUAAUUUGAACUUUUGAGGUUAAUAGUUAGCGCCAACGAUCCAAAAGUUAGACACAACCAAAUUGCUCCUAAAAAUAUCCUCAUAACAAUUAUACAAAACAA